rnacentral:lncRNA from 1 species
UAGGUGAGAAAAAUACUCCACGUAGGCCAUGUAGCAAACCAUUCAGCGAUGGACAAGUGUUCAUCUGGCCCACAAUUCAAAUUUACUGCACUGCGACUCUCUCUCUCUCUCUCCUCUCUCUCUCUCUCCGUGAAGCGCUGAAUCUACUAGCGAACCAUGACACCGCCGCCACCGCCUCCGCCUGUUGCCUCUGCCAUCGCCUCCCUAAGCCGCCGCAUCGAUGCAUCCCCAACCCGCCGCGCCGAUGCCUCCACCUACGCCUCCAUGCCAAUGCCUCCACCUACGCCUCCGCACCAAAUCAAUGCUCUCUCUCUCUCUCUCCCAUGAUGUGCUGAAUCUGCUAGCGAACCAUGAUGCCAAUGCCGACGCCGACCCAAGUCGCCACGCCAGUGCCUCCGCCUUCGCACUUAAUCAAUUUCUCUCUCUCUCUCUCCUCUGCUAUUGCUAGCUAACGAUGAUGCUGACGUGCCUCUGCCGUCGCCACCUAGAGCCUUGCCCGUUGCUUAUUAUUCAUCCCGGUGUCUAAAGAUUAGGGUUUUCUACAAAUUACUUUAGAUUUUGCUCAGUAGAGUUAUAUGUGAUGUUAGUGACAGUGAUAGGUUCCCGUCGUCGCAUCCCGAAGCCCUGUCUACGCCGUCACCUCCCAAACCCCGCCUACGCUGUUCCCGCCUGCCCACUUCUGCUUUGUGACCUUCCGAUCUCUCCCCUGUGCGUUCUUCCAGAGCCUCGGCGUCGGCAUCAUGGUUCGCUAGCAGAUUCAGUGCUUUGCACAGGGAAGAGAGAGAGGAUUGAUUAAGAGCGUAGACGGAGGCUUCGGCGCAGCGACUUCGGGAGGCAACGACAGAGGCGAAGGCAAAGGCGAAGGCGAAGGCAAAGGCGAGAGAGAGAGAGAGAGAGAGAGAGAGAGAGAGAGAGAGAGAGAGAGAGAGAGAGAGAGUAGAUUGUUUAGGGGUAGAGGCGAAGGAGUCAGCAUCAACACGGCGGUUUGGGAAGACGAUAGCGGAGGCGCGUCGGUGUCGUGGUUGGCUAGGAGAUUCAGCACUUCACGAAGGGGGAGGGGAGAGGAGAGAGAAAGAGCAGGUUGAUUCAGUGGGGAAGCAGAGGAGAGAAAGAGAGCAAAACGAUUUAGGGUCUGUUUGUUUUGAUUUCUUUUUUCUGUUUUUAAACAAUUUUUUUGUUUUUUUGUUCCUAGGAACAAAAAAGGAACAGAAACGCAUUUGUUUGCGUUUUUGUUCCAAAAUUAUUUUUUUGUUUCUUGUUUCUGGAACAAAAUUUAGGAACACUUUUUCUCUCUCUUCCAUUUUCUUCUCUCUUUUUUCUUCUUCUUUUCUUCUCCUUCGAGGGCCGACAACCUCGCCGGAGCGUCACCGGCCCCUAGCGAGGCCGACCUCACGCUGACCCCUGGCGAGGCCGACCUCAUGUCGGCCUGGGCGAGCUUGAUCUCGCCCAUAUGCGGCGAGGCUGAACUUGCCCAGCGGCCGGCGAGGCUCAGCCCCGCCCCGACGGGCCACCGCCAGGUCGGCAUCGCCUAGCAGUGGCCCGGCGACGCCGAGGCUCGCCGUAGCUGGGCGAGGCUCGGCCUUGCCGUGGCUGGGCGAGGCCACCGGCCCUCGUCGGCCGGUCGACGGCCAUGGCCGAGGCCGGCGACCGGCCAAAAGAAGAAAAAAGAAAAAGAAAAAAAGGGAAAAAUAAAUAAGAAAGAAAAUAGAAAAAAAUAAAAUAAAAAUAUUAAAAAAUUAAAAGAAAUAAAAAAAAUAUACAAAUUUACCAAACGUAUUUCUAUUCUUUUUAUAUUUCUGGAAUAGAUUUACUAAACGCAUUUUUUUGUUCAAAAAUUGUUUCCUGAAGCAGAAAUAUUUUUUUCUAUUCCUGUUCCCAGAAACAAUUUUUAAAUAGAAAUGUUACCAACCUUAGAACGUUUAAUGAAUGGAGCGAAUUUUUUUUCCCUCCGUAAUGGAAUGGACCACAUUCAACGAGUAGAGAGAGAGGUAUGCUGCCGUGGGCCCAGAUUGAUAGAGAGGAGAGAGAGAGAGAGAGAGAGUCUCAGUGCAGCAAAUUUGAAUUGUGGGCCCGGAUAGACAGGGCCCAUUGCUGAAUGGUUUGCUGCAUUGUCCUACAUGGAGUAUUUCACUCGGCCAAUAUUUUCUCUAGUCUCACGAAUUUGAUCCAUCUCUUUCGUUUUCUUUUUGUUUUUCAAGUGGAGGGUGUAUGCUCUAUCUAGGAGGAGGGUUGCCCAUUGCAGAUCUAAAUUUUCUUUAGCAUUGAAAUAUGGCUGGCUACCUACCGGAUGUUCCUCUCUUUUCUUUCUUUUCUAAGUUUGUGAGGGUCCAGUGAGUUCUUCUUUCGGCUUCGCCGGCCAUUACCAAGUAAACUGCAGCCUUAAAGAACUUUUGGAAGUCUACAUCUUGUCCAUUGUCACGCUUUUCAGAGAGCUGAGCUACAAAAAAAAGACAUCUGGUUCGCCAGCAUCCAGCUGGUGCGUGUACAAUAUAUUCAGAUGAGAGAGAUUUGCACUUGUUCUGUGGUUCAUCCCAGACAUCGAUUUCAUCAGCGACGAAUGUUGCUUCUUCUCUCUCGACAUGCAGAGCUUUUCUUUACCUUUAAUGGUAGCUUUCCCCAAAACCCUUACUGUUAAUCCUUAACCCUCCUGCUUUUCAUCAAUUAUCGAUGGCUUGAACUGAGCAUCACUUUCCUCUCCACGUUUCUCCUCCUCGCCUCUGUCCUUACAAUCUUCCUCACCCCUUGCAAUCCCGACUACAGUUCUUUGAAUUCCCACUUCAGCAUCCUUUCCACCUGCGAUCGUCCAUGCAAUCCCAAUUCCCUCCUCUUCUUAUCUUCUCUGGCCCAUCCCUUACCUCCUAUCUCUUUGUCUACAGUUUUUUAGUGCAACUGCUGCAUCAUGUCCGAGCCCCUUUCAGACCUAAUUAUUCAGUUUCUUUUCGCAAUUAAGUUAUGGAUUCCCAUCAUCUGAGUGAAGAAUCGCGUCUGGCAGCCCUCAGCAGCAGAAUGGGCCGUCUGUGGUCAGAAUAUGAUGAAAUCGAUGUCUGGGAUGAACCUCCUCCAACGCAACAGCUGCAUGAGUGUAGGAAUGUGUUAGUAGGUACAAUUCUCUCUAACCCUACUGUAAAUCCUCAAGCUCUUCAAAGUACUCUUAGCCGAGUUUGGAAGGUAGACAAUGUAGAAAUCACUCAACGUGAAGAUGGCCUUUUUAUUGCUACCUUUAAAUUAGCAAGUGAAAAACAGAGAGUGCUCGACAGUGGUCCAUGGAACUUUGCUGGUCAUCUGGUAAUUCUUAAGCCUUGGAAACCAAAUACACCUUUACACUACUAUGAUUUUACUACAUGCGCCUUCUGGGUACAAGUUUUUGGACUUCCCCUUGAGUGGUGUUCCGACCACAUGCUCUGUAAAGCGGUUAAAAGUGUGGGGAGAGUGCUUCAGGUAAAUAUUGAUAAAAAGGACGGUACAACUAUUCGAGCUGCACGUGUCCGAAUAGAACUUGAUCUAGCUAACCCUUUGAAAACAAGACAACUACUUAGACUAGCUGGUAAGACUUUUUGGCUAGACUUCCAUUAUGAGCGACUCGCUCAUUUCUGCUAUUCCUGCGGCCGACUCGGACACUAUGCUUCUUAUUGUCAAGAAAUUCCUUUUACUGAAGCGAAAAUGUUUGGUAAAGAGAAAAUGGCAUUCGGACAGUGGUUAAGAGCAGAGGUCAAGCAGCACAGUCCUUAUUGGCUUACCUUCUAUGGGCUGAAUACUGAGUCUAAAGACACUGAAGAAGUGAUUCCUGAAACUCCUCCUGCAUUGACCAACAAAUUUCCAGCGUUACCCCCUAUAGCAGUUAUCUCAGAGAAAACUCAAUCACAUUCGGAUAAGUUAUAUGCUUACUCCUCUGCACACCCCCAAACUGAGCACCACCUCCAGCCUCAAGUUCUACAAGAUGCAUCUCCCACAAGAGGUGCUUUUAUACCUGCGGCACAAAAGAUGAAAGCAGUUGUUGAAAUGUUACCAAGUAUAAAGAACCGGGAUACAGAAGAGAAGCACCAUCUCAGUACAUUACUUCCAACUCCUAAGGCUGUCCUGUUUCCUCCAAUCCUUCCACCAACCUCUGCCUCCAUGUCUUCCUUAAUGGUUCCACCCCCUCCAUUGCCUGACCACCAACAAGGUUUUCAGAAUCUUAAUGCAGGGGAUACCUCUAAAAAGAAACAAAAGUAUACUCGAUUAUCUACCAAAGCAGGGAUAUCAAAGAAAUGUAACAGACAAGUUCCCCAUGUUUCGCGUACUCCUCUUCUUGAAGAUCUUGAUGAAACAUUACUGCUGGAAACUCCGAUUGCUUCAGCUGCUGAUGCUGGCAAGUGGGUUGAGGUGGCUUUCCCUCAAAAGCCACCGACAGUAAAAUGAAGCUACUCACUUGGAACUGUCAGGGACUCGGCUCUCCCCUGAUAGUUCAAGCCCUUAAGGCCCUUGUGGUCAAAGAGAAGCCUGAUCUGGUUUUUUUGAUGGAGACGAAGAAUUCUGAGGCUGUCUUACUUCGUCUUCAGCGUCGGCUCAAUUUCCCUCAGUCUCACUUUAUUAACCCUAUAGGCCUUGCUGGCGGUCUGGCUAUGUUCUGGCAAGCUCAUAUUUCCCUUUAUAUAGAAAAUUCUAAUUAGCACUUUUUGGAUACUAUAUGUACAGAUUCUACUAAAGGUAUUACGAUGAGGCUUACGUGUUUACAUGCACCCGCAUUGUUCCAAUCUCGGAAAGUGUUCUGGCAUGCACUUCGCCAAAUUGCGUCCAUCAACUCUCUUCCUUGGGUUUGUGCUGGAGAUUUCAACGAGAUCAUUAAUCAAUGGGAGAAAGUCAGGAAAAGAGCUGUAGACUCUCAACGCAUACACUCUUUCAGGGAGUUAUUACAUGACUGUGCACUUAUGGAUCUUGAAAGUAAAGGUUGUGCGUUUACCUGGAUGAAUAACCGUCAGGGUAAUGAACUGGUUAAGGAAAGGUUAGACAGAGUGGUGUGUGAUCUGAACUGGAGAUUACUUUUCCCAGAAGCUGAGGUUUUUGCUUUACUUGCAGUGGGUUCUGACCAUUCCCUCCUGCUGUUGUGCACAGAAGUAAAACAAAGCUGUCGAGGCAAGCCUUUCCUCUUUGAGGCAUACUGGACCGAACACCAGGACUGCAGCAGAACCAUUGCCAUGUCUUGGGCAUCCGCUGGGAACACAAGCUGCGAUCUGACAUAUAAAUUACGACGGGUCAGCUUAGCCCUCAAAAAAUGGAGUCACAGUACAUUUUCCAAUGCCAAAUCACAGAUUGCGGGCUUGCAACAUCAAUUGCAGACUUUGACUAAUCAACCUACCAGUUCAUAUGACAGAAAUUUCGCAGACAGGUUAAAGCAACAACUACAAGAGGCAUGGCAGCAAGAGGAGCAGUAUUGGGCCAUGCGGUCUAGAAUUCAAUGGCUCAAGUCUGGAGACAAAAAUACACGGUUUUUUCAUGCAACUACAGCGCAGCAUCGACAAAGAAACAGGAUCAGCAUGUUACUCGAUAUCAACCAACAAUGGGUAAGAGAUGAGCAGGUCCUCAAGGAAAUGACUAGGGCUUUCUAUGCCAACCUCUAUAGCUCAGCCGGCCACCGAGACUAUGGUCCGAUUUUGGACCAAAUUUCAGCGAUCGUUACUCCUGCAAUGAAUGACAGCUUAAUUGCAGAGAUCACACCAGCAGAGGUCAAAACGGCUACCUUUCAGUUGGGUAAAUCCAAAGCACCAGGCCCUGACGGACUAAAUGGUAUCUUCUACCAAACUUACUGGGAUAUACUUAAGGAGGACCUCAUUCUCUCUGUUCAGGAAUUCUUUAAAACAGGAGUUAUGCCGGCUGAUUUAAACAGGACCUCUGUCUCUCUAAUUCCUAAAGUUCCCAAUCCGGAAAGCCUAGACCAGUUCCGCCCUAUCAGUUUAUGUAACUAUGCUUACAAAAUUAUCUCCAAGGUCUUGGCUAAUAGACUAAAGCCCAUCCUCCCUGAUUUGAUCUCUACUGAACAGAGUGCAUUCGUAAGUGGACGCCAAAUCCAGGACAAUAUCUUGAUUGUUCAGGAGGUGAUACACCAACUAAAGACCCGGGUGAAAAAGAAACAUUUCCAGGCAAUCUUGAAAAUGGACAUGAAAAAGGCUUACGACCGUGUGGAAUGAGACUUCUUGAAUGAUUACUUUCUCAGAUUAGGUUUCCAUCCAGUUUGGGUGAAUUGGGUGAUGCAGUGUAUUUCAACAGUCUCUAUAUCUAUCAAGUUCAACGGCGAUCAACUCAAUUAUUUUAACCCUACACGAGGUCUUCGUCAAGGUGACCCACUCUCCCCUUACCUGUUUAUAUUAAUGGAGAAUCUCUUGUCUACCUUAAUAUCUCAAGCCAUCGACAUGGGUAAUCUCAAAGGGAUCAAAUUGAAUAGGUGGUGUCCUACUCUAUCCCAUUUACUUUUCGCCGAUGAUUCUAUCUUUUUCCUAGAUGGGACUGCUAUGGGAUGUCAAAAUCUAGCUAACAUUUUGAACCAAUAUUGUUUAGCUACCGGUCAGGAAGUGAAUAGAAAUAAAUCAGGUAUCCUUUUCAGUAGAUCCUGCCCCUCCACACUUCAGAACAAUCUAUCACUACAUUUCAGGAUUCCUGUGAUUUAUAAGACCGGAAAAUACCUAGGCAUUCCGUCAGAUUGGGGUCGAUCUAAGAGAGACAUGUUUUCAUGGAUUUUGGGAAGAGUUAAUUCCAAGUUAGAUGGAUGGAAGGAAAAGCUGAUUUCUAAAGCUGGGAAAGAAGUCCUUAUCAAGAGUGUAAUCCAAUCUAUUCCUCAAUAUGAUAUGUCCAUUUUUAAGAUUCCUAUCUCUCUGUGUCAUUCCAUUGAACAAAAGAUAGCGCGAUUCUGGUGGCAAUCUGACAGCACAAAGAAAGGCAUUCAUUGGAGAAACUGGGAGUCCCUAAAGAUCAGAAAGGCGCAGGGGGGUCUAGGAUUCCGAGACCUAAUUGCUUUUAACAAAGCGAUGCUUGGUAAGCAAGCCUGGAGACUAAUUAAAUCUCCUUUAUCUUUAUGGAGCAAAAUUUUCAAAGGUCUCUAUUUCCAUUCGCAAGAUUUUAGGAGUGCAGGAAAAGGUUACCGCCCUUCCUGGGGAUGGCAGAGUUUAUUAUUAGGGAGAGAUUCCAUUUUACCAAAGUUACAAUGGUCUGUGGGGAAUGGCACAAAGAUUAGUAUUCGAGAAGAUCGAUGGCUUCCUAUGGGCAUUAUUGGUGGACCUGCUAAUCGCAAUGAGCCAUGUAUGGUGGCAGAUUUGAUGUUGCCAAGUGUGAAUCAGUGGAAUGGUCCUCUUAUUAAUCAGUUUUUUGAUGAACGGGUUUCCAGAGAAGUUCUUAAUAUUCCCCUAAGCUCUACUUGCAAUGAAGAUAGGCUAAUCUGGACAGAUACUGCUCAGGGUCAAUAUUCUGUUAAAAGUGCAUAUCACAGUUUAUCCUCUUCCAUUCAACCAUCUGAGCCUAUUUGGAAAAGAUUAUGGACUCUUAAGACGGCCCCUAAAAUUCGUUUCUUCCUGUGGUCUGUUUAUCAUAAUGCUCUCCCUACCAAGACAAAUCUUUUUAACAGACACAUCAGUUCCGAACCAACAUGCACAUUAUGUCCUCAGCGAGACCCUGAAUCUAUCGAGCACCUACUUCUUCUCUGCCCCUGGACUACAGCAGUUUGGUCACAUCCUAAGAUUGCUAUCAGUCAUUCUCAAACAGCAGCACAGAACAUGACAGCAUGGCUUGAAGUUAGAUUUCGAGAUAAAGCGCUGUUACCUGGUUUGGAAAUUGUGGCCGCCCUUCUCUGGCAAAUAUGGAAGGCCAGGAAUAGGUUCAUCUUCACUGGUCAGAAGCUUGAUCCAUCCUUUGUAGUAGAAUCAGCCUUAACUCAGUCGCGAUCUGCUCGGAUAAACUGUCUUUCCUCCUCAACUGCGUCAACCCCAGGAAUCAAAUUUUCUGCUCCUUCUACCCUGUGGCGACCACCUGAUACAGGGGUACUCAAAGUCAAUAUCGAUGGGGCUUUUCACGUUGCUGACUCCAGAGGCGCAAUAGCUAUUAUUUGCAGAAAUCAUUUGGGUAAAAUGGUUGAUGGGUAUACCUCUCGAGUUGCUGCUGCUUCAGCGUUGCAGGUUGAAAUCUCUGCUCUUGUAUCCGCGCUGCACCAUCUCCGUCGACUCGGCAAAACCGACGCUCCCUUAAUCUUGGAAUCUGACUGCCUUGCCAUGAUCAACGCUGUUGAAGAUCCUCGGAAGACUCCAUGGGCGCUUCGACCCUUGUUUGACGAAGUGAAUGAUCUCCUCUGCUGUUUCUCUCGACUGCAGUUAGGGUUUGUCCCUCGUACGGCCAACGCUGUCGCCGAUUGGGCUGCCAAGGCCCAAUUGGGCGGUACCUUAUCUUCCUCUUGGCUCGCUUUUCCCCCUCCUUUAUUAUUAGAUCUUCUUAUUUCGGAUGUAAUGGAUGCUGGUGGUAAUGUUUCUAUAAAUUAGUUAUCGUUUCCGUCCAAAAAAAAGGAGGAGUUAAUGGUUGGCCCAAAAAAUACAAAUGGAGGUAUUAAUGAAGCCCAGGGGUCACCAAACGGACCAUGGGAACAUCCUCUGAAACAUGCACUCAUCUCUCGCUAAAUCCAAAAUCCGAGGAACUUCGAUAAAAACGUUGACACAAUUUUUUGCCAAUCUAUUUAGUUGCACGUCGCAUAAAAAAUUAGGGGUGGUCCCCAGCUUCUAGACAAAAGUAUUAGUUAAAUUUGCAUAUAGAUAUUAGUAGCAUUAUAAUUAGUAGUGAUAAGCCCGCAUACAUUUACAUUUAAAUUGGAUCGACGGUGAAUGAACUUAAAUAAAUGGUUUUAAACUUAAUUGGAUUAAUUGGACUAAUUGGACUGAUCCUAUAUGAGCAUGAAAUUUUGGCCAAGGCCAUGAAUGCUAGGGAGUCGAAAAUUGGUUGGGAAUUUUAUUUAUGGAAAGCAAACUUGGGGGCAAUUAAUCUCGAUAUUAUCAAAAUUCAAAUCUUGUAGGAUAAUUGAGGAAAUUGAUCUGAUAUUAUCACACUAAGAGAAGAGGAGAGAAGAGUUUCCUGUUUCCUAUUUUUAAGAUAGAGUAUAUCCUUUAAAAUUCCAAACAAGGAUAUCUCUUACUCUUGUCAGAAAUAUCAAUUGCCAGCCUAUAUAAACUCUAUCAUGUUCCUUGUUGGAUUAUUUAAGAAAACGAAUUGGAGUGUGAAGCGUGAUUUGCAGAAGAGGGUGAACCCGAGCGGUGAAAAUUCGUUCCUUGUUGGAUUAUUCAAGCUUGAAAGAAGGCUCGAAAGGUCCGAUCUCACCAUCAAAAUUCAUGCGCGCCUUCACUUCUUCAAUGGACUAUCAUUGAAGCCAAGGCCGCCGAGGCUUUCUCCGCACGACCUCCUCCAUCCCGACAACGCUGUGGUGGCUCCAGUCGCUGCUGCACUGCGUCUCGCCUCCGUCUCCAUGCUGCACCACUUGCACCAUCCGAACCGCACCAGCACAAUACCCAGCCGAUCUUUGCACUGACGCCGGUUCCUACAAUCUUUGCACGCUCAAAACAACCCGAGCAGCGCCGGGCCACCGCCAAUCGGCCCCACCACCAGUCUGCUGCGCAUAACCACAACGCUGGUGAACCUUCCAAAUAGUUCUCUCGAGUUCCUACAGUCCAGCAUCUUGUCACCGCGACCGAUCAAGCCUCCAACGAGGCCGACGUCUCCGUCGCUCCUAAUAAGCCCUUGCGAUGCUCUCUCCCGUCCGUCAUUUUCAACACUCGAGCUUCCUUCACUGGCGUCUCACAUAUUGAAGAAAUAAAGAUGAAAGGGACCAAGGCUGAAGACGAUUGGUGAGCUUGAAGCACGUGGACCGUUCCGGUAAAAAGGAAUUACAAUAAAUUUGGUCAAAUAAAUCCAUGCGGUGGAUUUAUCUCCUUUUGGAUUUUGUCCAGAACUGACAAUAAUGUUUAUGGGUUUUGUGAUCCUACUUCAAGCAAGCAAAAGAAUAUUAUUUUGGCAUGGAGAUCGUGUAGCGACGGGCAGAUUCUUCGGAGGAAGAAUAGGCAACAUUUAAGGCAGACUCUACGAGCUUACCAUUUAGGGCGCGUUUGGUAAUAAUUCUGUUUCGGGAAACAAUUUUUAAUGAUAAAUAAUUAUUUUUGUUUCUGUUCUCGGGAACAAUUUAUAAGUAAAAGAACGCAUUUGAUAACUUCUCAAAAUUUCUAUUUUUAGAUUUAACUGGAUGUUUUAUGUGUAAUUGUGCUAUAACCAGGAUGCAGUAUUCUCUCGUCUUAGACUCGUCUCUAAUGGCCAGAGAUGGCGGUGGCUGAGUAGGGUUGGUCGUAGUUUUGGACUUUGGUGUUUAAGUGCAACUUCAAUAGCUGUCGAGCAAUAGAGCCAUCGGACCCACGUCGUCUGCAUUAUUAUUUUCUCUUGGUUAGACGCUCCGCGUCAACGAAAAACAGAAUAAAGAAGAAAUCGGAAAGAACAUUUAUAAGUCGAGUUCACAAAAAUACACGGUCGUCUGCAUUAUCAUUUUCUCUUGGUUAAGACACUCCACGUCAACCAAAACAGGUGGUAUGACACAUUUGUCUCACAUUUUAUCAAAUUUGAACAUUUGCGAUACCUAAACCGAUAAAAUCUAAAAAAAUUUCUUUUAAAUUUUUUUUAAAAAAUCAUUUAUUUUUUAUUUUUUUUCUUUUCCUUUUUCUUUCAUCUUCUUCUUCUUCUUCUUCUUCUUCAUUGACUGGUUGCUGGCCAUGAUGACGGUUGGCGACCGGCCAGAGGCGAGUUGGAGCCUCGCCAUAGGCUGGGGAGGCUCAACCUUGUUGAAAUCUGCCAAGUUCAAGCCUCGUCGGUCUGUGGCGAGGCUUGAGCUCACUAGCAACCGGUCAAUGAAGAAAAAGAAGAAGAAAAAUAAUUAAAAAAAUGAUUUUUACAAAAAAUAAAAAUUUAUUGAAAGGGUGAAUGUAGGAAAAAAAAAACAAAACAAAAGUAAAAACUGAAAAACCGAACCAAAAAAAAAACCUGAAUUUCGGUUAAGUUCAAUUUCGGUUCAAAUUGUAUUUCGGCUCGCUUCAUUAAAUUUCCUUAAUGAUUCAAUUCAGUUCGAUUUCUAAAAAAAUCGAAUCAAACUGAAUUAUUUACACCCCUACUUUUAUGGUCCAAAGCGACGGUUCAUGAUGGCCAAAAAUGAUUGCAAUCGUACCAAUGCCACGAAACUGAUGAAACUUUGCCAUUACUUGCGACAAAAGAUCAACCGAAUAUAACCUCCGCGCCGCUUCGAGAAAUUUUCAGAGAUCAGCCAACAUCGAAGAUUCCCAUUUCCUAGCUUUGUGCAACUUGGCCUUGAUUGCCACCUUCUCCAAAGCACGGGAAUUACGAACAAGAAAUUUAACUAAAGAAAGACAUUGUCCCAGCUUCAAACACGUAGACCACUGAAACCAACAAUCCCGACACUCUCAAGAUGCUUCACGUAAAACUCAGAUUCUUUGUUUGGGGACGCAAUACGAUUCCCCUCUAUAUAGUUCUGGUCAUCCGAAUCAAGCUCAAGCUGCACAUACGGCGGUACUAAGACUGAGUAAGUUAAAAGUUAGAUGGGCACUAUAACUUCUCGAUAUUGAUCACGGUGUUUGACCCAAAAAAAAAAAAAAAUUGAUCAUGGUGAUGAAGAAUCUCUAGAAUAUGUCAAUUUAAUAAUCUUUUCACCCUAAUUAAAUUGAUAUGAUUGCUCUUUCAAUCGAAUUUUCUUUUUCUGCAUAAUUGGAUUGAAUAAGACAUCGAUGACAAUUGUGCUACAACGCAAUUUUAAAUCUUGGUGGUCAAUUUUUUUUUUCUUUUUCCACUAAUUCUUAGAUGAUCAGAACGAGAGAUGUACAACCCCAAUCUCUCAAAGUGUGAAUUAUUUGUCUUCCUGUUAUAAUUUUAUAUGGAAAGUAACCUGAUGAUGACUAGGUACGUGUGUGAGUGUCAUGUAUAUGCAUAAAACAUUUAUUUGGUUUUCGUGUGAGUCUUUUUUUUCCGAGUGUGGACUUAUUUUACAUAUGUAUCGUGAUGUAAUGACUAAUCUUAUUUAGACUUAUUUAGAAUUUCUUUCUUUAAUUUUGUUCCACGUGUUAGGGCUUCGUGACUAGUAAUAUAGAAAGCAACAUCUUAAGUGCGGUAAUUAGAAGAGAAAGAGGAACAAACGUAUGCCUCGUUCCAAAAAUGGGAGUGGCGACUAUCCAUAUCAUCAAGGACCAUGCAUUUCAUUAAAACGGCGGGCAAGAAUGGGGGAACUAAUGCAGGCUUAAAAAAGCACGAUAAUUUAAGAAAGUUACAAAUAUUAGAAUCUACCGCUAAAGAAUUGGCAUAUACGUAUUUAUAAGGAUUUCAAGCACAAAGGUUGUUAUAAACAAAAGUCUGGAAAAAUUGAUUAAAAAGUCCCCAUUGUUCGUUGGUCAAUUCAGUAAUAAACAUUUUAGUUUUGCCACUUUAAUCGUAAAAUUUUUGACAAUUAGCCAAUAUAGUCUUUCUAGCCAAUUUUGAUUGAAAAUCGUUAACAUAAUACAACUAAUGUUGAUGUGGAUAAAAAUUUUUAAAUUUUUUAAAUUUUUUUAUUUUUUGAAAAUAAAAGAAAAAGGAAAAAUAAGAAAAAAAGUUAUAAAAUCAUCCAUGUCAGCAUGGGCCACAACUAUGCCAUGUAGGACAUCUGACACUAACUAAACUAUCACGUUAACAAAAUCCAAUCACAAUUAGCUGAAAAGACUAUAUUGGCAAAUUGUAAAAAAAAUUUAGAACAAAAUUGGCAAAUGAUUAAAUGUUUCGAUACGAAGUUGACAAAAUUAAAAAAAUUAUGACUAAAUUAGUCACAGUAUAAAAAGUUUAGGAUUUUUUCGACAAUUAUCUUAUAAAGGUUGUAAUGGCACCAUUAUUACUUGAACUUUCACUAGUUUUCCAAUCAAGUAUGUGAGCUCAAAAAAAAAAAAAAAAUCAAGUAUGUGGACUUUUUCUCUCUUUCAUCAAAUACAUCAACUUAUCAAAUGCAGGUCAAUACGAAUCUCCAUUAAAAUCAUGGACGGAAAUUGCUGGCUCUGAGGUGGAAUCAACUGAACUUAGGGUCUAGGGCUCAUCUCUCCCUCUCUCCAUUUAUCCAUCCAUCCAAAAUAGCCAUGGAAAAAGGUUACUAGCUUAGUAACAACCCUCGACGUUCCAUUGACCAAGAUACGUCCUCUGUGUUCCAUCCUCAAUGACCUCAUCCAUGAGCUCUCCUUCCUUGAGGACCUUGCCUGGUGACCUGCAAGUUGGGUCGCAACUGUAGUCAGGGGCUAGGGUUUCAUUUAAAAACCAAAUUUAACCCCAAUUUAUCAAUUUAGGGAAAUUUGUCCUUAACCAACUGUGUACCACUCAUAUUUAAGGGCGCAUACUUCCUCAGAGUCAAGUCGUUUAACUUAUUCUUAAAAUAAUGUCACCUUCAAUUCUCAAGUGACCUAAAUCGUCAAUGUUCCUUAAAUAACGACUUUGUUGUGCAAAGAGAUUAGAGGUAUAAAGCCAUGUAGAAAUCAUUAGGUUUGCUUUAUUGUACACAAUAACUAGAGUUGACAUGGGCUGGUCACCGCUAUAGAAAGUGAAUAGUUUUUAUCACAAGCAGGGGCAUGGGCCCAUCCUUGAUUCUGUUGUUUCUCUAGAUGCAGAAAAUUAGGAUGCAGAUUUUUUUUUUCCCCUAGAAAUAUGAGAAUCCUAUUGCUAUGUAAUAACAAGAUGAACAUAAGUCAAAGUGGGAAAUCUAUUCACUAAUUCAAAGAUAAAGGGAAUAAAAAAACAGGAACUAUACUCCCGGCACUAGCCCCCGAACUUCUUGAAAUUGCAAUUAAGAUAUGAGUAGGGAAAACAAAGUUUAUCUAUAGAGCUCGGCACCCCUAAUUAAUAAAAUUUCUUUAAAUUUCAAAAUUAGCAAGAAGGAAUAAAUUGACAAUGGUCAAAAGGUUUAGGACUAAAUUGAGAAAUCAUCAAAAGAUUUAGGAUUAGGUGAGCAAAUUGAAAAAUUUAAGACUAAACCGAUAAAGAUUUAGGACUCAAUUGGUACAAUUAAUAGAUUUAAGAUUAAAUUGACACAAAUACAAUAGAUUUAGGAUUUUCAGCUUCUUCAUGGGAUUUGAUCAUUAGUGACGGUGGAAUCAGAUUUCUCCUUCAUCAGCUUCUUUGUGGUGGUACUAAGACUGAGUCAAGUAAAAGUUAGAUGGGCAUAAUGACGUGAUGAUGUUGAUCAUGUUGGUGAGGAAUUCCUAGAAUUGGUCAAUUAAGUAAUCUCUUCACACUAACUAAUUGAUAUGAUUGCUCUUCGAUCGAAUUUACCUUUUAGCCAUAAUUGGAUUGAGUAGGCAAUAUUGGCGACUAUUGUGCUGCAAUAUAAUUUUAAAUAUUGAUGGUCAAUUAUUUUUCUUUUUCCACUAACCCUUAGAUGCCUAAAACGAGAGAUUUACAACCUCAAUCUCUCAAAGUGUCAAUUAUCUGUCUUCCUAUUAUAAUUUUACAUGGAAGGUAACUCAAUGACGACUAGGUAUAUGUGUGAAUGUAAUGUACAUGAAGAAAACAUUUAUUUGGUUUCCGUAAGUGUUCCUUUUUUUUAGAGCGGCUUAAUUUACAUCUGUAUUGUGAUGUGAUUACUAAUCUUAUUUAGACUUAUUGAGAAUUUCAUUCUUGAAUUUCGCUCCGCACGACUGGCGCUUCAUUACUAGUAAUAUAGGAAGCAACAACAUCAUAAGUGCAGUAAUUAGAAGAGAGAGAGGCAUACCUCAUUCCAAAAAUUGGGAGUGGCAAAUAUUCAUAUCAUCAAGGACAAUGCUUUUCAUGAAAAAGGCGGGCAAGAAUAGGGGAACUAAUGCAGGAUUAAAAACGUACGGUAAAUUAAGAAAAUUACUCAUAAUAGAAUCUACAGUUUCAUAUGUGUAUUUGUAAGGAUUUCAGGCAUAAAGAUUAUUAUAAAUAAAAGGAGUAAUGACACCACAAUGAUUUGAACUUCUACUCGUUUUCCAAUCAAGUACGUGGACCAUUUUUAUGUUUCCUCAACAUCUACUUUAUAAAUGCAGGUCAAUAAGAUUAACUCCAUUUAAAGCAUGGAUGGAAAAUUCUUGGCCUUUGAUGUGGAAUCAACUUAAAUAGCCAUGGAAUAAGUUACUAGCUAAUUAACAAUCCCCGAUGUAACUGAAUUUAAGGCUCCAGUUUCAUUUAGGGCAAUUUGUAACCGUGGACUACACAUAUUUUAAGCACACCUAUCUCUGACGAGUCAAGUAGUCUAAUUUAUUCUUAAAAUAAUGUCACCUUGAAUUGUCAAGUGACCUAAAUCGCUAAUGUCCUUAAAUGACGACUUUAUUGUACAAAGUGAUUAGGGAUAUAACGCCACUUGGAAAAUAAUUGGGUUUGCUUUAUUGUACUGAAAGACUAGAGAUAUAAUAUCAAGAUGUAACUGCAUGGGCUAGUACCACGCUGUAGAAAGUGUCUAGUGUUUUUAUAAGCUGGGCCAUGGGCCCAUCCUUGACUCUGCUGUUCCUCUAUAUGCGGUAAAUUAGGAUGCAAAUUUUUUUUUUCAAGAAAUAUAAAAAUCCCAUUGCUGUGUUAAUAACAAGUUAUACGUAAGUCAAAAUAGGAACUUUACUCUCUAAUGCAAAAACUAAAUGGAGAGAGAGAGAGAGAGAGAGAGAGAGAGAGAGAGAGAGAGAGAGAGAGAGAGAGAGAGAGAGAGAGAGAGAGAGAGAGAGAGAGAGAGAGAGAGAGAGAGAGAGAGCAGGACUGGUAUUCCCCACGUGGGGUGAGUUUAACCCUCAGCCCCCCCAUUUCUGAAAUUGCAAUCAAGCCCCGGGGUGGGGGAUAAAAAANNNNNNNNNNNNNNNNNNNNNNNNNNNNNNNNNNNNNNNNNNNNNNNNNNNNNNNNNNNNNNNNNNNNNNNNNNNNNNNNNNNNNNNNNNNNNNNNNNNNGUUUAUGUAUAGAUCCAUAAACUCUGCUGCCACAAAUUAAUAACAUUUCUUCAAAUGCCAAUGUUUUAGGAACUAUUAGGAACUUCUAGUAAAAAAAAAUUCUUAAUCAAGACCUAUUUUCCUAUAGCGAUAUUGAUUCUAGGGUACAUUACUUGGACAAACCCCGCCUCCCCCUCCCCCCGGCCCCCCGCGGGAAUUUUAUCAAAGUUACCCGGAAACCCCCUGCAUUUUGAAAAUGCACUCCGACCCCCUCGUUGGAAACCUUUUCGGAAUUGAUAGAUUAAUAAAAAAAAUUAAGUAGUCACAAUCAAGUUCUCAAAAUAUAGCUGGAAUAUGAACAAUGACAUGGAAUUCACAAAAUUCCAUAUCGCCAUUUACAGAGAAAUUCGUUGUGCCAUGAGUUGUUGGAUAUGCAGUUUGACAUGAUAGUAUCCUGUUUGUAUGCAUCCGACCGUAAUUUAAAAAGAACAAUAUAACCCAGCAUGUCAAAAGAUGGUAGACAAAUUGAAGUAGAAACCAGAAUAGCAUGGCAACAAAAAUUUUCUGAGUUCAACACAAAGAGUAACAUACACUUUCAUAUUGAUUGCUAUCUCGAGUCAAAUGGCUUUACAACUGUUCACAUGCCCGCACAAGUUAUCAUAUAGAAUAUGUCAACAAAAUGCCAAAUAUCAAAUGCUAGUUUAUGGUAAGAUUAGGCGCACAAACACUUCAAAAUGGAGAGUAAAGGCAAGAAAGAGAAAUCUAGAUACAAGGUUUAUCCUAAUUUACUUUUAAACUAGGGCUACAUCCAACAUAUUAUUCCAUUAUAAUUAGUACAUCUCAUCUCUUUGUUAUAACUUUUAAUUAUAUGAGAAAAAGAUUAUAUAUAUAUAAAUCCCAGCUUAAUAUGGGUCCAAAUUAUAAAAGUUCAUUGGCAUCGCAGGGGCUUUGCACCUUACAAGCGAGACCAACGUGGCUUCUUAUUGAUAGGGAGUAUAAACCACGCCUCAAUAGUUUAGGUAUUACUUAGCUUCUUCGAGGGUAGUUGUUAAUGAUGGUGGAAUCAGAUUUCUGUUUCGUCAGCUUGUCGUUCGUGGGUGUUUGAAGAUUGAACUCGGGAAUUAUUUUUACACUGAUCAAAAAUUGAAUCGCCCUCCACCAUGACUUAAACAUGAAAUAUGUUUAAGAUUGAAUGGAAACUGAUAAUGCAAUUUGUCAGUCAUUUUUUUCUAGUGGAACUCAUCUAAUUAUGAAAGAAAAAUACAAUGCAUGACGUGCAACUAGCUAAUUCGUGACGGGUGCAAAUGUGUACGUAUUAUUCAUGGCUUAAAUAAAAGAAAAAUGACAUGCAUUGGUCCUACAUUUAGGAUAGAUGAUACCAGAACAAAUUAAUAUUCAGGUGUCCGAUUUACGGUAAGUUUCACGACAUAACAUGGAUGAGUGCCCAUAAGAAAUACUAUUCAAUGCAUGUUGCAAGUGAUCGAGAUAUGGAGUCGAUUUUAUCAAAACCUAGUUUUCAAAUAUUUUUCCAUUAUUUUCAAAUUGCUAGUAGACACCUAAUUGUUUAGCAUUCGACAAAAUUUGACUGAGAAUUAGUUAAAAAUUCCAUCCAAGUGUAUAAUUAGAUCAUACUCGCUAACAGUUUUCCAAUAAUAUCCAAUUUGCUAAAGUUGAAUGGCCAGUGCUCAAGAUGUUGCAACUUUUAACCAUAGUUGCCCGAUCAUGAGUUGUUAAGAAUAUUGUGAUUUGACCCAGUUGAUUAAUUUCAUCUUAAAAUUGAGUCACAAGUUUUCUUAAGCCCCAAGAAUCCCAUCGAGUGGAUUUUGAACAACGAGAAUAUCUUAACUUUCCACUACAACCACCUAUUUGGCUUCAUUUUCGGAAAUCCAAUCUAAGUCUUGAGCUUCAUAUGGACGAAAAAAUGGAGUCAAUAAGAGAUUGAAUGAAAACUCUAUGCAUAGGUAUAGGGGCCAAUGGCCCUUCGCCAAAGACAGGUCACCGUUUCGCAACGCCCUCUCAUUGCUAACCAAAGCCUAGGGUGUGCCUACCCUUGCAUAGGGCACAAAUGGCCUUAGUCAUGCUUUCUAGCCUUCUAGGAGGGUUCUACUUAACUCAAAACAUUUACAUGCCGAACAUUUACAUGGGGCUAAUUAAUAAAUCUUGCCCAAAACAGAUCAAACUAUCUCUAUGAAGCUAAGUGAUCCUCCUUAUACUUCGUAAAAAAUAUAUAAUCCCAUCUGAAUUUUUCACAACAUCACUAUGUGGAUUCCAAGGCCUGAAAUAAUUGGAAUUUGAAUUAAAUCUAUUUAGAGCUAGGUCUUCGUUUUUAGGUGCUUGGAUCAUUGUCCACUCCAUCCUCAGUGUAAUCUUCCUUUAAACGCAAAACAUCAAAACGUGGUGAUUUCGCCUAAUCCAAAUCUAUUCACCUUCUACACUUAGGUCCUUCCAAGUAUGUUGAUGCAUUCAUAUUAUUGAAGUUGUUCUCCAUUUAUUUGCCUUGUCUAAACACCUCGAUGAUCCCAUGUCCCUUGCUUGUUCACCAAAAUCUAAAGGUUCUUUCAAGUCUAACAAUUUCCACUCAGUAUCUUGUUCUCUACAUGCAAAAUAAGAAAAUUCUUCAAUGGCACAAACAUCAUGGUCUUAACAUUAUAUGCAUAUAAACUUAUAGAUGUAGAGGAUAUUUCGUCCACGUGCACAAACACACAAUACAUACAUACAUACAUACAUACAUACAUACACAUACGUAUAUAUGUGAGUGUAUUUUCAAAAUACAUAAGGAGUCUUAUUAACAUAAUUUACCUUGAAAAAAUAAGCAUUUGACCCCGUAUUUAAACGGAAAAAUUGAAAGUAAGCAAAGGAAAUGAUGUAUAUGCACAAACAUCAUGGUGUUAACAUUAUCUACAUAUAAACUUAUAGAUGUAGAAGAUAAUUCGUCCACGUGCACAAACAUACAAUACAUACAUACAUACAUGUGUGCGUAUCUUCAAAAUACAUGAGGAGUUUUAUUGACAUACACUGUUUGGUUCAGCAUUCCCAAGGGGCUUUCAGCUCCGAAAGCCCAUUGGGAAAAUAUUUAGGUGUUUGGUUCAACAUUUGGAGGUGUCCUUAGCCAAAUUCUGGCCUUUGAAAUGCUGAAAGCUCAAAGUAGGUGGGGACCUACUUUGGGUUUUCAGCAUUUUAGAAAUGCAAGUCCACCUCUAUUAUUCAUCCGUUGACUUCUUUUUCUUUUCUUUUCUUUUUUUAAACCGAUCAUCUUCCCCACACCCCAACCGCCGUUGAUCAAUGACGGAGUUUCAUCGGAUUUUAUUUUUAUAUUUUAAAAAAAUAAUAAAAACUCUUUGCAAAUGUUGGAUUCGCCUUUUUUUUUGUCAUUUUUAUCUUUUGACAAUCAAUAGCCCAACUUUUUAUUAAUACAUUAGAAUGAUCAUUAAUUAACGAAGAUGAUUAAUACUACAUAAUUAAAAAAAAAAUAUUCAAAGUUGAAAACAAACUUAAAAGAACCCUAGGCCAAAAGUUGAGCUUUGCAUCUAAUCUAUAAUAAAAUUCUUUUUAUAUAAUUUUUAAAUAAAUUUACUAAUAUAUAUCUUUUACAUUACUCUCAACAUGAAAAUGUAAAAUGUAAUAUAGUUAUUGUUUCUUUUUUGUAAUUUUAAAAAUACUAAAACUAAAAAACUUAAUUUGGUUACACUAAAAGGCUUUUCAAAUAUAUGUUUACCAAACAGUCUUGCAUUUUCCUAAAGCACUUUUCAGUUAUAGUUUACCAAACAAUCUAGCAUUUCGAAAAACCCCUUUUGCAUUCUCCCAAGGGCAUUUCUCCAAAACUGAACCAAACGGGCCCAUAAUUUACCUUGAAAUAAGCAUUUGACCCCGUAUUUAAACGGAAAAAUCGGAAGUAAGCAAGGGAAAUUGUGACAUCCAAAAUAUUCGGUAUUAAUUUCAAUUGAGUUAAUCAGGGCAUUUCUAUGCAAUUGGAGUCGGGGAUUAAAAUGGAAUACAAAAUUGAGAUGCGAGAUGAGCUUUUGGAUGAGGAGAAUAUUUAAUAGAAGCAUUGAGGCCAAUUGAGAUGGAUUUAAAGUAAAUCAAGUGAUUAAUGGAAGCCAAUUGUUUCAAAAUUCGUAUGCCCAUAAAACCAAAAAUUUAAAUUACCUUAAAGCUUCUAGAAGGGCCAUUUGUGGCAAGGAAAAUGGAGUGGAAGACAGCUGGAUUGGUGGGGCCAAAGAGAGAGAGAGAGAGAGAGAGUGUGUGAGAGAGAAAGGGGAAAUUGAUUUUCUCUUCCUCCCCUCUCUCCUUCGUCGACGGAACUCCUCCCCCAUCUUCUUCUUUUUCUUCAAAUCUCCAUGGAAGCUGAAGAUCAGCGAACUAGCAAGCCAAAGCAGCGAUUUCUCUCGGCACCGAUGCAGCAAACAACCGGAGCCGGAGUCGCCGCCGUCCGCCGUCCUGCUGCCCGUACACAGCUUCGCCCCUCUCUCCUUCCUCUGGUUUGAACAGAACCGACCAGCAGGAGCAGAAGCAACGAUCGGCGUUGCUUGAAGGAGCUGCAGUCGCGCCGCACGCCACCUCGCCGCCACACGCCGUUCCCGGCCCGCGUCGCCUCGCCGUUCGCCGUCCCGUGCUCUGCCUGCCUCGGCCUCUCCCUCGCUCAGCCCUCUGUUUCAGCGAAGUUUCAGAGCUGGUGGAGCUCCGCCGGAGCCGUCCACCCCUCCUCCGGCCACCGUGAAGCCUCGCCUUGGUUCGGUUCGGCCCCUCCGUCCAUUUCCGACCCAACCAAGCUCCGGAUCCGCCCUCAUUCGCCCUUAACCAGCCGCGCACAGAGAGUGCAGGAAAUGGGUUUCCAGCUGGUUCGGGCUCGUUUUGGGCUGUUUCCGGGCCCCGAACCUGAGGCCCGCUUUGGGAAGAAUUGUUCCUCGCGCCGCCGCCGUCGGAUUGAUCCGAUUUGCGCGCGAUUUGGUGAGUAAUAUCACUAAUCUCGGAUUAGUUGGCUAAUUAUGCUUUAGGUUGGUUUAGUUUUAAUUAAUUAUGUUUAGGUUGUUAGAUUAGAAGUAAUUAGCAAUUAUUAGUCAAUUGUGAUGCGAUUUAGAUAAAUUGAUUGUGUAAUUAGCAAGUAGACGUGGUCUACUAAUUAUUGGAAGUGCUUCGGAAAUUUUCCCGACCCUUAGUGGGCUUCAAUUAGGCUUUUCGGGCCUAAGUGGAAUUUUUAGUAGUUAAAUAUUAAUUUUCGGAAUUAAAUUAAAUAAUUAUUUAUUUUCCGAAAAUUUGACUGAGAUGGUCUGGAACGGGAAAAUUAUGCUGAUGAUCGUGGUGAAGUCCGUUUAUUUAAUCGGGCUUUAUUUUGAGCUAAAUUGAAUUUUUAAUAUUAAUUAUUUAAUUUUCGAAAUUAAUAAAUUAAUUAAUUAUUUUUCGAAAAUUAAGAUUUUGAUGGCUGACGACCGAAAUCUCGUGCUGAUCGUCGUGGCGCAGUCCGUUUAUUUAUUUGAGCUCCACGUUGCAUUGAAUUAAAUAAAUUGUGAUAUUUUAGGGAUUUACCCUAAAUUGAUUGGAAUUGAUUGAGAUUGAAUUAUUGAUUGGUAAAUGGCCAAGUAUGUUUAUUCAUCAUUUGCAAUGCUUUGUUGAGUUGUAAAGUGAGUAGAAUUGUGAGAGUGAUUUGAAUAUACUCUUGGCUAAGAUCCAUCAGGUAGGUUAAUAUCGUGUGAAGAUUGAGUGAGUUGAUGAGUAUGUGGGGAUUCAUCCCAAGAUUGAUCAAUGUCGGUAUUCAAUUAGAAUUUGACUAUGAGAGGUUGUGAGUUGAACCUCGGAAGCCGCCGAAGUAUGGCUAUGCCAGUUGGGCUGAGAUUUGCCACCGAAUUUGGAGUCGGUCGCGCCUGUUAAAGCCGUAAUUUGCCACCCGAUACGGGUCGCGCCUGAUAAGGCCGUAAUCAGCCACCUAUUAAAGGUCGCGCCUAUUAAGGCCGUAAUUUGCCACCCGAUACCGGUCGCGCCUGAUAAGGCCGUAAUCAGCCACCUAUUAAAGGUCGCGCCUGUUAAGGCCGUAAUUUGCCACCCGAUACGGGUCGCGCCUGAUAAGGCCGUAAUCAGCCACCUAUUAAAGGUCGCGCCCAUUGGGCCAUAAUUUGUUACCUAAUGAUAGGUCGUGUCCUUCGGGACUGUAAUUUGUUGCCAAGAAAUUUGGUAGUCUAUGCUUGUGAAGUCGUGAGUACGAUUUGAACCUGGAUAAGGGAAACGACUGGGGAAUGGUCGAAUUGACAUGUAAUCGACUAGAUUGAUUGAUCAUUGCUUUGAUAUGAUGUCGUGAAUUGAUUGACUGAAUGGAAAUGACCGUGAGUGGUCUUGUUGGCUGGUAAUCGACUAGGUCGAUUUGAUCGAUGCUUUGAUCUGUGAUGUGAUUGCUUAGGUGUCUAUUUGACCUGUGCUAACAUGCAGGUGGGACAUGAGGCCAAGGUACGUCUUCUGCCUUAUGCGUGUAUAGGCAGCCUAUAGUAUAAUAGUUUACUAAUUGGGCUAAGUGGGGUAGAACUCGCUGAGACGUAGUCUCAUCCCAGUUUGGGGAAAAACAUUUCAGGACCCCGAUGAGGAGCCGAUGAGGAGGAGUCUGAGAAGGAGAACUCGGAGGUGAAACUUGAGGAGAAUGAUUUUUAGAAGAAGAAGAUAAUCCUGAAAGGGGCCUUGAGUAUGGCCUGGAUGGGCUGAGAGUCUAUCUUCUUUUGAAAUCUCCUUUUUGAUGUGAUUAAAGUUUAGAGUAAAAAGUUGUAGAAUGCUCUGGUUUGUGUUUGUAUAAAAGUUUGGUUAUAAAUUUCAAUAUGAAAAAUAUGGCCCUGCUUUUCUAUCCCAUCGUGUUAUUGUCUGGGGAUUUUAACUGCUUCCGCAUGUGCUUAAUAAACUAAAGGGUCGGCGAUACUUGUCCUGGGAUAUCGCAUUAUAAAAUCGACCAAGUGAGAAGGAUGUGUGCGUGCCCGAGGAUCGGGGCGUGACAUCCUGUUUAAGUGGUAUCAGAGCGAAGUUGAAGAUUGGAGUGAUAAGGAGCAUUGACCAUGGGAUAGUUAGUAGGAAAGGCCUUUAAAUUCAUGCUGGUGCAUGUCUGUGUUAGCUGAAUGCUAGAAUUGUUUGUUGUGUGUGGAUCGCUCACCUUCUAAUCCAGUGUGGAUUUGGAAGACGGGUUUCAGUGUAAAGACUGAACCAUGAGCGAGUAGGAGCUGAGAACUCCUAGUAAGAGGACAAUGUCCUCUGUGACUCGGGAUAAAGCACUGACAAAUGUCGGUACCCGAGGUAGUUGUGGCAGAGUGUUGGCUCUGGCCAGCUCGAGUGUAAGAGUACCACUGCAGGUUGGUAUUAGUGUAGUAGCGUUGAAUGAUCCUAAGUUCGAUAGGAUCGUUUUGAUGCUAGUGUUCCUUGGAAAUUGGAUAAGCCAGAGGCUCAGGAUCGAACUGCCGUCAGUGUUGUAACCGCCGUGUCGCUUCACCUGUUGAGAUCCAGAGUGGGGAUAUGAUCUGGGAUCGAGCCAUCGCUUCCAAGUCAAGGUACAGAUCCAGUUCAGGCAGAAAUGGAAAUCGGUCAGGGAAAAGAUCGAAGUCGAGAGCGGUUCUAGCAGACCAAUGGGACAACCAGAAAGAGUGUGCUGUCACUUGACAAGAGAUAGAAGACUCACCAUAUAGGUGUCGAAAUUAUGGAAGAAAACCUGGAUGAAUCAGUAUCCAGGUAUGGUGAGAAGUUUGGAAAUGGAACCGACCUGGCAUUAGACAGAGGAAGAGUGUUUUGGGAGAAAAUUCUAUCAGAGGAUCGUAGUAGAGUUUUGAUGAAGUUUGGGGAACUUCAGUUUAUUGAAAUAAGUGGAAGAAAAGGGGAAUCACUAGUUAUUGUUGUUUGAAUUGAAAGAACCAAUGGUGCAGAUGUGAGGAUUGAUGAAUGAGGAAUUCAUGCAUAUCGGUGCAUCACUUUAGGGAUCAUCAGUUUUGUGAAAAGAGAAAGAAAGAUGGUUCGUUGCAAUUAUGCAUCAACUAUAGUUGACCCAAUCAAGUGACAAUCAAGGAUAAGUGUUCAUUGUCAAAGAUCGACGAAUUGGGCAACUUGUUAUAAAGAGUGUGGAUGUCUUCAAGGAUCGACUUGAGGACAGGUUAUUGUCAGUUAAGAACCAGGAAGGAAGUUAUACUGAAGACGGCAUUUCGCACUUGAUUUUGUCCUUGUGAGAAUAAUGUAAAGCCAUUUGAUUUGACGAACACUCCAGCCGCUGUCAUAGAUUUGACAAAUCGAGUGUUCAAAGAAAAUCUAGAUCAAUGGUGAUCGUGUGGUGUAGCGACAUUAUAGGGUGUUCAUUAAGUGUUGAGAAUCACGAGAUGCCCCUAAGAAUGAUUGUGUGGUUACAGGCAAAGGAAUCUUCAUGGACCCAGCCAAGAUCGAAUUAGUUGUUAACGGACCGAGACUGACAUCAAUGUCAGAGAUGUUCAGAAGAUCUUAUAAGAGGAUACUGGCAAGAAAGAAUCUAACUUUGAAACUUCUGAGGAUGGAAAGUUCAGGUUCCAUGAGUGAUUGAAUACACUUGACGGUGUAGCACUCAGGGAAAAGAUCUUGUCAGAAGUUUACUAUAGUAUUGCAGUUUUGACCAGAUGGUGCAAAUAAAUCAGAAUCGGCAUCAGCUAGAUUAGUAAGCUGAUAUGAAGAUAGAUAUUGCUGAGCAGGUUGCAAGUGUCAGAAGUGUCAGUAAGUGGAAGCUCGGUAAUGCGAAUCGGGAAAAUUUUUACCAUCACUUGAAAGUCUCAAGUGGAAAUGGAAAUAUAUCACAAUGGAACAUUGUGAUAGGCUUACUAAGGAUUCAGGGGAUUACUGAUACCAUUUGAGAAUAGUGGUUGAUCGAUAGAUGGAGCUGGUCUACUUUGGUACAGUACGAAUAGAUCUUGUUUUGAGUGCGUAACAUUCAGAUUUCAGGCUCUGAUUUCGAUUAGAUAAAUUGGGCAUUUCAUCGACGCGAUUACAGUGUUUUUCUCUGAGUUGGCCACUCAUGAGAUAACUAGACUAGCUGGGUGAGUUAUUAAGGACCUUAAGGCAAAUAGACUUGAGAAUUCGACCAAUGAUCGACUUCUCGACCGUGCUCAUCUUUAGAGAUCAUUACGGCACAGUAUAAAACCCGAUUUGAAAUCAAAGAUAGAUCGGUUCGACUAAGAUGAAUGACCGAUCGUGGGUGACUCCACUAAAUUGGAAAAUUCUCAUCGACCGACACUAAUUUGAUGUUUCUGUCGUUUUGGCGCCCUGUGUCCGUAUUUGAAUCUUUGAGAUUUUCACGACAAUCGAGAGUCGCCAAUGGGUCGAGUGGGUUUAUUGUGGCUCGAAGAAAAUCGACCACGGGUCAUUUGUCCUAAAAAGCUCUGAACACUACCCAGUAGCCUAGGUCGCACUAAAAGCAUGUCGGAAUGAAAUUAACCGGCAAUCUAAGUUCGAUUUCAGAAAUUGAAGAUUAUAUCUUAUCAGAGUGGGUAUAUCGAAGUGUGUGUGCAUCCGAUAAUUCGCCGGCAUGGAGUGCCGGGGAUGAAUUAUAUUUUGAAUCCAGCUUAGAGAUUAUCAAUUUGGCAAAGUUUUCAAAGGGUUCUUUAUUAAGCAGUGUAUAGCAGAGGGUACAUAAUGUCAGUGGUGAAAAGAAAGUGAAGAAGAUUUCAGGCCAAAGUCAGAUCAGUAGUCAGUGAUUGCAAUUGCCAAGAUCAGUGCCAGAGUUAUAUUAGAUCUUGACCAGAGGUUCCCAGUUUCAGUAGACCAGUCAGAUAGUUUCUUUUUAAUCAGUGCAAAGCAGAGUGUACAGGAUUUCAGUCGGUUGAGAUGAGAUCAGAAAUUAGAAAAUCGCAAGUCCAGAGUCAGCUCAGAAAUCAGUGUUUGCAGUUGUCAGAUCAGUGUCAGAGUAAAGAUUGCUCAGAAUUGUCAGAAAUUUUGAAUCAUUGAGGUUCGAAGGUUUAUUAGGGAGUCGAGAAAAAGAGAUCAGAUGUGGAUGACAGAAUAUCUUAUGUGAGAAGCUCAGUUCAGUUGUUGGUUCAGAAAGAGCAGAUUUUGUAUACAAAGAUGAUCUCCUUGGUCAAAGUGGUUAGACAACGCCACGAGACCGAAGGAUUAGCAUGGAAUAGUGAGACUCAAUGAAACAACAAUACCCCCACCUUUUGUAUGAGGAUUGGUAAAGGUUUAAAUUUCGAGGACGAAAUUUUUUAUAAGAGGGGAAGAGUUGUGACAUCCAAAAUAUUCGGUAUUAAUUUCAAUUGAGUUAAUCAGGGCAUUUCUAUGCAAUUGGAGUCGGGGAUUAAAAUGGAAUACAAAAUUGAGAUGCGAGAUGAGCUUUUGGAUGAGGAGAAUAUUUAAUAGAAGCAUUGAGGCCAAUUGAGAUGGAUUUAAAGUAAAUCAAGUGAUUAAUGGAAGCCAAUUGUUUCAAAAUUCGUAUGCCCAUAAAACCAAAAAUUUAAAUUACCUUAAAGCUUCUAGAAGGGCCAUUUGUGGCAAGGAAAAUGGAGUGGAAGACAGCUGGAUUGGUGGGGCCAAAGAGAGAGAGAGAGAGAGAGAGAGAGAGAGUGUGAGAGAGAAAGGGGAAAUUGAUUUUCUCUUCCUCCCCUCUCUCCUUCGUCGACGGAACUCCUCCCCCAUCUUCUUCUUUUUCUUCAAAUCUCCAUGGAAGCUGAAGAUCAGCGAACUAGCAAGCCGAAGCAGCGAUUUCUCUCGGCACCGAUGCAGCAAACAACCGGAGCCGGAGUCGCCGCCGUCCGCCGUCCUGCUGCCCGUACACAGCUUCGCCCCUCUCUCCUUCCUCUGGUUCGAACAGAACCGACCAGCAGGAGCAGAAGCAACGAUCGGCGUUGCUUGAAGGAGCUGCAGUCGCGCCGCACGCCACCUCGCCGCCACACGCCGUUCCCGGCCCGCGUCGCCUCGCCGUUCGCCGUCCCGUGCUCUGCCUGCCUCGGCCUCUCCCUCGCUCAGCCCUCUGUUUCAGCGAAGUUUCAGAGCUGGUGGAGCUCCGCCGGAGCCGUCCACCCCUCCUCCGGCCACCGUGAAGCCUCGCCUUGGUUCGGUUCGGCCCCUCCGUCCAUUUCCGACCCAACCAAGCUCCGGAUCCGCCCUCAUUCGCCCUUAACCAGCCGCGCACAGAGAGUGCAGGAAAUGGGUUUCCAGCUGGUUCGGGCUCGUUUUGGGCCGUUUCCGGGCCCCGAACCUGAGGCCCGCUUUGGGAAGAAUUGUUCCUCGCGCCGCCGCCGUCGGAUUGAUCCGAUUUGCGCGCAAUUUGGUGAGUAAUCUCACUAAUCUCGGAUUAGUUGGCUAAUUAUGCUUUAGGUUGGUUUAGUUUUAAUUAAUUAUGUUUAGGUUGUUAGAUUAGAAGUAAUUAGCAAUUAUUAGUCAAUUGUGAUGCGAUUUAGAUAAAUUGAUUGUGUAAUUAGCAAGUAGACGUGGUCUACUAAUUAUUGGAAGUGCUUCGGAAAUUUUCCCGACCCUUAGUGGGCUUCAAUUAGGCUUUUCGGGCCUAAGUGGAAUUUUUAGUAGUUAAAUAUUAAUUUUCGGAAUUAAAUUAAAUAAUUAUUUAUUUUCCGAAAAUUUGACUGAGAUGGUCUGGAACCGGAAAAUUAUGUUGAUGACCGUGGUGAAGUCCGUUUAUUUAAUCGGGCUUUAUUUUGAGCUAAAUUGAAUUUUUAAUAUUAAUUAUUUAAUUUUCGAAAUUAAUAAAUUAAUUAAUUAUUUUUCGGAAAUUAAGAUUUUGAUGGCUGACGACCGAAAUCUCGUGUUGAUCGUCGUGGCGCAGUCCGUUUAUUUAUUUGAGCUCCACGUUGCAUUGAAUUAAAUAAAUUGUGAUAUUUUAGGGAUUUACCCUAAAUUGAUUGGAAUUGAUUGAGAUUGAAUUAUUGAUUGGUAAAUGGCCAAGUAUGUUUAUUCAUCAUUUGCAAUGCUUUGUUGAGUUGUAAAGUGAGUAGAAUUGUGAGAGUGAUUUGAAUAUACUCUUGGCUAAGAUCCAUCAGGUAGGUUAAUAUCGUGUGAAGAUUGAGUGAGUUGAUGAGUAUGUGGGGAUUCAUCCCAAGAUUGAUCAAUGUCGGUAUUCAAUUAGAAUUUGACUAUGAGAGGUUGUGAGUUGAACCUCGGAAGCCGCCGAAGUAUGGCUAUGCCAGUUGGGCUGAGAUUUGCCACCGAAUUUGGAGUCAGUUGCGCCUGUUAAGGCCGUAAUUUGCCACCCGAUACGGGUCGCGCCUGAUAAGGCCGUAAUCAGCCACCUAUUAAAGGUCGCGCCUAUUAAGGCCGUAAUUUGCCACCCGAUACCGGUAGCGCCUGAUAAGGCCGUAAUCAGCCACCUAUUAAAGGUCGCGCCUGUUAAGGCCGUAAUUUGCCACCCGAUACGGGUCGCGCCUGAUAAGGCCGUAAUCAGCCACCUAUUAAAGGUCGCGCCCAUUGGGCCGUAAUUUGUUACCUAAUGAUAGGUCGUGUCCUUCGGGACUGUAAUUUGUUGCCAAGAAAUUUGGUAGUCUAUGCUUGUGAAGUCGUGAGUACGAUUUGAACCUGAAUAAGGGAAACGACUGGGGAAUGGUCGAAUUGACAUGUAAUCGACUAGGUUGAUUGAUCAUUGCUUUGAUAUGAUGUCGUGAAUUGAUUGACUGAAUGGAAAUGACCGUGAGUGGUCUUGUUGGCUGGUAAUCGACUAGGUCGAUUUGAUCGAUGCUUUGAUCUGUGAUGUGAUUGCUUAGGUGUCUAUUUGACCUGUGCUAACAUGCAGGUGGGACAUGAGGCCAAGGUACGUCUUCUGCCUUAUGCGUGUAUAGGCAGCCUAUAGUAUAAUAGUUUACUAAUUGGGCUAAGUGGGGUAGAACUCGCUGAGACGUAGUCUCAUCCCAGUUUGGGGAAAAACAUUUCAGGACCCCGAUGAGGAGCUGAUGAGGAGGAGUCUGAGAAGGAGAACUCGGAGGUGAAACUUGAGGAGAAUGAUUUUUAGAAGAAGAAGAUAAUCCUGAAAGGGGCCUUGAGUAUGGCCUGGAUGGGCUGAGAGUCUAUCUUCUUUUGAAAUCUCCUUUUUGAUGUGAUUAAAGUUUAGAGUAAAAAGUUGUAGAAUGCUCUGGUUUGUGUUUGUAUAAAAGUUUGGUUAUAAAUUUCAAUAUGAAAAAUAUGGCCCUGCUUUUCUAUCCCAUCGUGUUAUUGUCUGGGGAUUUUAACUGCUUCCGCAUGUGCUUAAUAAACUAAAGGGUCGGCGAUACUUGUCCUGGGAUAUCGCAUUAUAAAAUCGACCAAGUGAGAAGGAUGUGUGCGUGCCCGAGGAUCGGGGCGUGACAGAAAUGAUGCGUAAGGGACCUCGGGCCUUACUGAAGGCCAUUGGGCCACUACACACCGUCAUAGGGAUAUUGUACGGGGCCCUCAGUGGGGGCGUGGGCCUGUCGCUGCAAACACCAUGCGCAUUUGUUUGUUAGGGGUGCCACCACCUGGAACAAAUUUUCCCUUUUAUUUUUAUAUUUGUCCGAACUUUGACCCCUGAUUUCUCUUUGGGCCAAUUCACCCGUUAUUCAUGCUCACGGAAAGCUCAUGACCUGACUUUAUGUCUGAUAUUUGGAAAAAUGUCGGGAUUAUGGAUUUCCGCAAACUUGGUUAAAAGAACGGUCAUGGUGAAAAGUCACAAUAUAUUUCUCGUUAAAAUUCUGACUGACCUAUUUCUCAAGGCAUUAGUUGUGACUAAAUAUACCUGAAUUCAUCACUUAAUAUGGGAAAUCGCAAUUUGCCUGACACCCUCAAGAUCGGACAGCUGUGGUUAAAUGUCAUGAUAUUUGUGAUCCAGGCAUUCGACGUGGGCAAAUUGGGUGUUGUUGUUCUUGCAGAGCACAACCCAAUUACACCAACUGAAAGUAAUUUCGACGAAUUUUUUUUUUUCCAGCACUCAAGGCUUUGAUGCAUUUCAAACCAAGAAAUUUUCUAUUGGAGCAAGUGCUAUCCGAGAAUAGAUUGCAUGGUCAGACAUUGGUAAAAAAUGAGGUGCCUUCAACAAUAAUUGCACCGAGAGAAGUACUUGUAUCCAUUGAGAAAAGUUUAACCCUCGCGCAAGGCAAACACUAAAGAAUGCAAAAGUAAUUGAAGGCCUCCAUGAGUCCAUGACAAUGAACUUUUGAAUGUAUAACUUUACAGAUCUGGCUUGGGUUAAUGCUUUUCCUUACUAUUGUUAGCCUAACCUUUUCAUCGUGACAAAGCUGGAAGUGUUGUCUCCUAGUUGUUUUCCUGGUUGUUCACAAUCUUCAUGACUAUCUCAAAGCAUCAUUCCACUAACUAGUAAAGUUGGCAACUUUUUCCCUCCACUUUGGAAAAAUUUUAUAGGAUUAACUUAAAAGUCGUUACUCUUCUUUCUUUAUGAUGCUAAGAGAAAAGGAAGGUGCCGUGUCUCAUGGUGGAGGAAGCCCUGUUAAGCGAGCAUUAGGACUGACAAUAUGCUCAAAACGUUUGAACUCGACUUGGAUUCGACGACAAUAUGCAUUUUUAGAAUUUUUCUUUUGAUAAUUAUAGCAUACAUCGUCGAUGUCAAAAAAGAUUUAUACAAGUGGCCUUAUAGUUACGCCACUAACUUAAGAAAGAGGUAUUAUAAUCCUAACAUCAAUUGUGGAUAGGUUGAUUUUGUAAAAUAAUAUAUAAACCCACGGUCUCUUUUUCUUUGUUCUCAUUUCUUCGUGAUAAUUAAGACACGAGAUUACUUGAUUUAUACAAUGAUUUCCAAAUAUGGUUUUGGGAGGGGCAGAGACCUUGAUUGUAGAGGACUUGUCCCGAGGCUUGCACACAAUUCUUUUGCCAAGAGAAUCUAUAAGAUGGCUUCCAUAUAUGGUUUUGGGAGGGAGGAGAGACCGAUGAUUGUAGAGGAACUUGUCCCGAAGGUCUCACGUGAUUCUUUUCGCAACAGAGGAUACGUUUUUCUCACGGUAAUAUCAAUCAAUUGGAACCGCUGAUUAUAGACGACCUUAUCUUGAAGUUCACACAUAAUUCUUUUAGCUAGAGAGGGUAAGUGUUGCGCCCAAGUAAUACCAUUAUCCGGAUGAAUGAAAUAGAGAACGUGUGAGAGGAAAUUCGAGUAAUGUUAAGGGACUUCAAUGCAAGGUGAAGGGUGAGAGUUAAAUACAUCGAUAUUGGAGAGACUAAAGCUAUAGUUCUUCCUUUGUGAUAUUAACUAUCAAAUAAUUGGUUUAGCGUAUUUUAUAGUGAAGAAUGAGAAAUUUCAUGUUAAACAUGAUGGUGUAUUAAAAUUAGUGGAUGGUGUAUCGCCACGUAUAAGGAAGAAACAAGUUAGAAGUAGCCCAUGUCAUAAGGUGACAUCCCGAUUGUCUUCUAGGCAUUCACAUUCACAUUCUUCAUGACUAUCCCGCAGCAUCGUUGUACCUCUAACUAGUAAAGUCGGUAACUUUUUCUCUCCACUUUGGAAAAAUUUUAUAGGCUUGACUUAAAAGUCGUCACUCUUGUUUUCUUUUGGUGCUAAGGGAAAAGGAAGAUGCCUUGUCUCAUGGUCCACUUUGCAAAAAUUCCAUAGGCUUGACUUAAAAGUCGUCGCUCUUGUUUUCUUUUGGUGCUAAGAGAAAAAAGAAGAUGCCUUGUCGCCUUGUCUCAUGGUCCACUUCGGAAAAAAUUUCAUAAACUUGACUUAAAAGUUGUCACUCUUGUUUUCUUUUGGUGCUAAGAGAAAAAGAAGAUGCCAUCUCAUGGUCCACUUUGAAAAAAAAAAUCAUAGACUUGACUUAAAAGUCAUCACUCUUGUUUUCUUUUGGUGCUAAGAGAAAAAGAAGAUGCCUUGUCUCAUGGUGAAUAAACAUUUGCUCAGUGCAUAGCGGGACUGAUAAUACACUCAAAAUGUUUGAACUUGACUUGGAUUUGACGAUGAGGUUGAGAAUUUAUUCCAUGGUUAAGUUUAAUUUUUGUGGUGCUCUGCUGAGCAAAGUCCUCUUACACCUAAAAAGGAUCACGAGAAUAAGAACUCAUUCUUUGCUCACAAGAUCAUCUACUAUGAUUGAGGGAUUAGGAAUAGGGCUAAAAAUCUUAUUUACUUGCAACAUUAUGAUGAUCCCACUCAUUUCACAAAUUCAUCUAAUGAAUUCAGUUUACAAAGGAUGAUUGGAUUGUACACAUUAAAUAAGGUGGCCUUAUGCAAUAUCCAUCUUUUCAACAUAGGAGAUUUAGCAUAUCAAGAUUAGACAAGUGAUAUUAUUUCCGUCAAAUUGUCAAAAGGACAGUUAAGAAGUAGUUGCACGGUUAUUUAUCUAGAAAAAUUAUUGAAUGAACUUUGUGUAUAAACUAAAUUGAAUUUGAACCAUUAAAAAUAGUGGACUUCAUAAGAAUCUCUUCAACUUUUUGGAUUCAUAUUUAGUUUACCAUAUAUAUGUUUUUCAUUUAAUAAUUUCUUACUUAUUAGACGCAAGUAACAGCCUCCAAGAUUGGACUUUGGUCAUGCAAAGCACCUAGGACUUGGAGCGAAAAGAAGAUUGAAGACAGAAUAAUUGCAGUGGGGAAAUGCAUGCGAAAACAGGCCGAAUAAUUGCAGUGGGGAAACGCAUGCGGAAACAGUCCAAAUUAUUGGAGUAGGUGGUUGGUGAAAUGAUGCUUUGAAAGCAUCUAGCAUUUUCUCACGAAAAAACAAACGAUUGUGGAUGAGUCAUUGAUGGCUCACUAAGUUCAUAAAUUGGUUGAAACGACACAUCCAUUUAUAAAAUAUCAACACGGGUCACCUUAUGCAAGUCUGAUUUUUCUUCUUGUUCAUUACAUUUAUAUGAUUGAGAAUAGAGAAUUUAAAUAUAAACUGGAGCAAAAACUACAAAUUGUCAACGAUAUUUAUCACAUAAUUCAACAUAAGACAUUAUGUAUGCUUAAAAAUUUAGCUAUACCAAUUUCUAUAUCAGUCCACAGUACUUUUAUUAUUUAAAAUUUUAAUCUCCAAAAGAUUUGAGUUUUGUGAUAAAGCAAAUAUAAACUAUCUACACACCACAUACAGAGACAACUUUAAUGAGAUUUUGUUAAUCAACAUAAAUUUUUUAUUAUAUCGUAUACUUUUAAUAUGCCCAAAGCCUAAAAUUUUCACAAAGCUUGAACCCCAGCUUAAUUGCUUGAUCAUGUGCAAUAUGGGAAUACAUACUGCUUUCUUUUUAAAGAUUGCAAAUCCCUCACAUACACUAAUAUAUCAAAGACAAAUUCUACAACAAACAGUACGAAUACUAUAAUACAUAAGGAGGAUGUUGAAAUGAUUUUUGAGAAAUUCGACAUGAUGGUAAAUUCUCUAUACCAUAAUAAGAACUUAGUGUGAUUUUAAGUUUUGAUAUGUAAUUUCUAUAUUUUGAUUUUUUGGUAUAUAUCUAGCUAUUUGUGAAUGAUGCAACGAAAUGUUUGUUAUUACAAGGUUUAACACAUAUCGAAUUUCAGCUCAAAACAAAGUGAGGAACAAAUCAUGGAAUCUAGAAAUAGGAAUGGAAAUUCCAAACUCGUGCUAUUUUACACGAACACCUUACUAUUCACACACGGAUGGCUUAGGGACUCUGCAAAUAAAUCACAAGAGUAGGAAACAUGGAAUUUGGUUCUGAUCAAAUGAAAAACGAACAGAAAAGGGAAGAAAUCAGAAGGCUUUACCAUGAUGAGGAGAUGGGUAAGGGCGUGUUUGUCCUAGGAACAAUUUUUUAUAAGACAUUAUUCUUUUUUAUUAUGUUCUCGAGAACAAUUUUUAAACAUUUUAAGCCGUUUGGUAAUUGUCUAAAAUUUUAUUCCCGGAAUAAAAUUGCAUUUGAUACCGUUCUAAAAAUUUCUUAUCCAAAUCAUUUUUUAUAAUUUUUUAAUAAUUUUGUUACUUUUUCUUUUCUUUUCUUUCUCUUCUUCUUCUUCUUCAAGGUCUGCUGGUUACUGAUCUUGGGAUGAUUGACAACUGGCCAAACGAGGGCCGACGAACUUGCCAAAGUAUCACCAGCCCUUGGCGAGGCUGAGCUCACCCAGCCAUCGGCGGGGCUCUACCUUGCUCACUCGGCCAAGUGAGGACCGGUAAGCUCGCUGAACCUCGCUCAACCGGUCACUGGUGAUCGACGGUGGCGGUAGUGGAUGACAACGACGACGGUGGCAGCAGUUUAAGAAGAAGAGAGAGGGAAGAAGAACAAGAAAAAAGAAGAAAAAAGAGAAAAAAAUAGGUUGGCUUGAUUCUAAAAUUAUUCUCGAGAACAAAGAAUCAGUUUUUUUUUCUUUACUUCUCGAUUCUGUUCCAAAUCUACUUUCGAAAAUAAAAAAAUAAAAAUUUAUUCUCCAAAACAAAAAUUUUACCAAAUUAAUUUUCGUUUUAAAUUUACUUCCGGGAAUAAAAGAAUAUAAAUUGUUACUAUUUGAUCGAUUGCCAAACGCGUCUUUUUUAAGUGUGUGAACUGUGGUCCCCUUGUGUGCGUCGCCAGCUUCCUGCUCCUCCUCAAGAUCAAUGAAUCCUACACCUUUUUGACUCUCCAACUUUUUCUUCCACUCCCCGCUUUCGAAUCUUGUGCAAUUCUGAUUUUCCCUUACUUUCCAACUCAUACUCUCUUUUUUGGAAUCCCCAGCCGCCGAAAGCCAUCCCGCGCUUGAAGCUCACGAUCAAUUUUACUUUUUCAAAGGGUCCCCAUCUCACGUAUUUCUCUAUUUUCUAAAAAGAAUCACCGAAUCCUUUUCUUGUUCUAUUUCCGAAGCUCACAGAUAGAUCUUCCUUAAUCAAUCACCAAGUGACUCGCUUUCUGUUUUUCCCCGGCCAGCUCACUUAACCGAAUCAAUCUUUUAAUACUCCAGAUCGUCUGGUUUGCUCUGUCUUUUGGCCAUCAACCGAGGGUCCUCUAUGAGUGUUGGACCAUGUUGGAUAUUGUGUAAUCCAACUCUCUUGACCGUAUUUUGCUCCUUCAAAAAUCCUAUUCAAAAACCGGUUGUUUUUUCGUGACAGUCCUAUCUCUUGGCAAGCCUCGAUUCAUCUAAUCCUCAUCUUGAAGGUCUUUGAUCCAAACUUCCUUAAUUCUUGGAGUUGGGUUCCAACUUGUCCAAAUCAUAUCUAACUGCACAGCGAGGAGUUAGGACCAAUUCCCUUAUCUCAGAGUUGUGUCCAAUCACGCUAUCAUGAAAUUGAAGCUAACUUCCACAAUUUGGAGUUCUGAAUUCUAGUUAAUCUAAAAUGUCGAGCCAUCGAUCUAGCCAAUUAAAAUUAAGAUGUUCAUAGUCAAGUCCCUGUUUUAUUCUAUGCAAACAAGCUUUGUUUAAUUUGAAUGCAUUGUGCCUAAACAGAAAUGUGUGCAUUGUCUAAAUGCAGAGAAAUGUGACAAAAGAUGCGAGUGUAGGACUAAGCUAACGAAAUGUUUUUGUUUAAGGAUCCAAUCGCUCCACCAUUGACAAACUCAACUUGUAAUUUUCUCAUGAAAUGAAUGAAUGGUCUUCGGACAAAAAUUUAUGUGUCAAUAUAAGGUUAGAGGUACAAACUUUGACAAACCAAUCUUUUGACAUUUGCUGAUGAAUAUUUUGGUGAUCUGACUAUUAGAAAGUAUUGUUGUUAUUAUAUGUCAUUUAAGUAGUCGCGUUAUAUUAUUACUUAGUAAAGAAGAAAUCAUUCAGAGGUGGGGAUGCCAUUAUGAGGAAGCGAGCAAUAUUUUUCUGAUUAGUGAGCCCAUGACCAGGUGACAAGAAUUCACCACCCCAAAGUUGUUUCUGCACUAAUUUUGUCAGACACGAAGAAGCUUGUCUCAAGAGGAUCGGAAUAAUGCGGUGGUAAAAAUUAAGUCCAUGUGUUCAUACCUAUUGCAUAUGUUUUUCCAUACUUUAGCACCAUGUUUUUCCAAAAUUCUACUAUUAGUAACAAAUCUAUGAUAUUAUUUUUUUUUCUAGGAUACUUGAUUGUGCUUGUAAUUAUAUUUGCCUUGAGUAGUCAUGCGGUAAGUUAUUAUAUAGCAAAACUACUUCUUAGAUGUUAGGGGAUGAAAUUUCGAGGAAGGCCAGCAAAGUUGCUUUUAUGAGUGAGCCUAGGACCUAUAGAUCACGGGAAUCCAUCACCGUAAAGUUGUUUGUCGGUUUGUGCUCUAUUAUUAAUCCCUACUUUUGUCGGCCACAAAGAAGCGUGUGUCACAUGAUCGUACGUGGUCUUCAUUUUCUGAAGUUCCACUGUUAUUUUUUUGUUUUCCUUACCCCGAAAAGAAGGAAUGCAUCUUGGUCCUCCGGUAUAAGAAUAGAUCAACCAGAAGAUCAAUUGGCGAAUGACCUGCUUGAAAACACAGUUUCAAAUUUUUAGCUAAUAGUCAUUGCCGAUUGUUAAACUCCCACGUCCAAUGGCUUCUUCAUCAAAAUCCAAAAAGAUUUACGACGUCUUCUUGAGUUUUAGAGGCGUAUAAUUGCGUAACAAUUUCGUCAGCCAUCUCUACCAAGCUUUACACCGGAUUGGAAUAUACACUUUCCUAGAUAGUGAGGAAUUGAAAAAGGGAGACAAAAUAUUGAUGUUUAUGAAAGCAAUUGAAGAAUCCCGCAUUGCAAUCAUCGUUUUCUCUAAGGAUUACACUUCCUCAAAGUGGUGCUUAAAAGAGGUGGCCAAGAUUAUGGAGUGCAAGGAACAAAACAACCUCACCGUUCUACCAGUGUUUUACAAAGUGGAGCCAAGAGAAGUGAGAGGUGGGAAAGAGAGUUAUGAGAGAGCUCUGACCGAGCAUGAGUCCAUGUUCAGGAAGGAUUCGGAGGAAGUGAAGAUAUGGAAGAAAGCUCUUUCUGAAGCUAGGAGCUUGUUUGGGUGGCAUUUGAAUGAUGAGUAAGUUGACUGGAGUUCAUAUUUUAUAUAAGAAAUUAAGCUUUACAAAUGAGUAUAAAGACUGUUUGUAAAUAAAUAAAUAAAAAUACUGAAUCGAAUGUAAGUUUAAAAUGUUAAAACUUGGUCGACCCAUGAACAAAAUGUUAAGUGGUGUUAUUGCGCUUACGCCAUUACUUUGGAAGGAAUAAGAAAGUUCGUGAUGCUUGAUUCACGACAUAUAGUUUGCAUAGGCUGUAUAAGGCAAUGACAUCGUGCUUCGGCGUAUUUAAUAGUUUUGAAAUUUUGACCAUCAUACAAAGUCAUAAAAAGCUUGAUUAGGCAUUUAAAUAAAUCACACAUAACAAUUGAAAAAAUAAGUAAAUCGUUGUGCAUAAAUGUUGCGACCUCUUUCUUCUCGGCGCCUGCAAUCGGGUACGAGCGCCUAAAGGAGGCUAAUGGCUCGGCUGAAUUUAUUAAGCCCGGACUCUCCCAAGUCCACCAAUUCACGACUUUAAUAGUUUGAGUUUUUAACCUAUAAAUCAAUUUUUAAAAUGGAGUCGCCACUAAUCGAUUUGGGGUGGGUUGAUUAGAAACCCAAGUGAAGUAUCGGGAGAAAUACUCACACCUGCGCAACCAGAGAAAUUAGGAUCGGGGACUUGAUUACACUAGUUAAUCACUAAUGCCCUUUCGGUACCUAAUCUUGUUUAAACCCUAAGGCUUUUUGAAUGUUUGAGAGAUUUUCCAUGCAUUUUUGGGAGGAAAAACAUUUUUUGAGUCAUUUUCUAAUUUUUUUUGGACACAAAAGGGAUUUUUGGGGGUUUUUUGGUUUUUUUUUUGGAAAAUAUGAAAUAUUUUUGAUAUUUUUGAUUUUUCGAAAAAUAAAAUAUUUUUUAAUAUUUUUUUGAUAUUUUUGGAAAAUAAAUUAUUGUUUGAUUUUUUUUUAAAUAAAAUAUUUAUUAUUUAUUUAUUUAUUUAAAAUAUUAUUUUUAUAUUAAAAUAAUAUAAAAACUGACCCGGGUCGGAUCCGCGGGUUGGGUCCGACCCGGGCCAGCAAUCCGAACGAGGACGGGCCCGCAACGCGGGCCCGACUCGGAUAUUUUCGUCCCUUUUUUUCAAAAAACAAGGCCCAAACCGAUUUUGGCCCACUUUCGUUAUAUAAAAAAAAAUCCAGGGAUUAACUGGCCCACAAGCGCAGGCCCACAUCUAGGGGGGAAACCCUACCCGAUCGCUGACCCAUGCCUGACCCGCUUUCCUACCCGGCUUCUCCUUCGUAGAACCGGAUUUUGGGAACCCUAGAGCUCAACGAUUUGCGGCGCUGAGAUGGGGCCUGGCUAGGAUGUCACCGGGUGAUGACUCGACGCCGACGACGUGGCGAACGGCGGCGACAGGCAGCAGCUAGGGUUGAAGUGUAGGAGGGAACGGCGGACAGCGGUGACCGAGCUCGUACUCACCUGCGGUGAGCUGGAUCAAUCGGUGCCUGGCGUGGCUCUGGUCGACGUGGCACGGCGGGGGAGUAAAUCCGCGGGGAUGGAUUUGCGUCAAGGGGGCGGAAGCAGUAGCUGGCAACAGGCAGCAGCUUCGCUGCAGCAGAUCUGACGAAAGGGGAUGGCAACGGCGGGUAGGUGCUGAAGCAAUUAGUGUCGGAGGACGGUGGUACAGCUCGAGGCAGCUCCUUCUGGUUUCUCUUCUCUCCAGCCCCUCCCGGUGGAUCUGGAACUCUCUCCUCUCUUCCUUCGAUCUGGGCUUGCGAGUGUCGAGCCUCCCCCGAAGUCUCUCGGGGGAAGCUUGAAUGCUCGCAGCUUCGAUCUCUCUCCUCACGCUCGGAUCUCUCCCCUUCGCUUCUCACUCCGGCUAGAUCCGAGCCUCCACCGGCCGGAUCUAACCUCCCCGAACUCGCUCACCGGCAACCUCCCCGAAGUCUCUCAGUGGGAGGUCGGCCGAGCUCGCGACCCGAGUCCUCUCUCGCUCGCUCUUCGAUUCCUCCCCCGAAGUCUCUCAAUGGGAAGAUCUCAGAGCUCGCUCGUGCUCCCUGGCCUUCCCCCCCGACACCCUAUUUAUAGGCGUGGGGGUGCCGGUCGGCAAAGGCUAGACCGGCGGUCUUUGGUGCACUAACCGGCCUUCCUUCGCCGGCCGAACCGGCGUCAGUUCCUCCCCUUCCACGGAGGCUCGCUUGCCAUCAAUGCUGCGUCCUCUCAGCCACCGGCCUACGCUCCUCUCUCUGCUGUAGGUGGUGCUCAAGCGCGUCUUCGUCGGAGCGCGUGACUUGCAGAGGCGGAGGAAGGAAGAAGAUGGGAGGAAGAAGACAGAGAAAAAAAUGGGGGGUAGGCCAAGUCGUGCGAGCCCACGUGAAGAAAAAGGGGGGGGCUGCUGCUUUUGUUUUUCUUUUGUUUUUUUCUGUUUUUUUUCUGUUUUUUUUUGGUUUUUCUAUUCAUUAUUAUUUUUUUAUCCGAAAAAAGAUAAAAUAAAGUAAAACCUAAUUAAUAAACCUAAUUAAAAUUGCGGUGUCAACAGCUGCCCCCUCUUUAAAAGGUGAGCUCGCAGAGGUUGCAUUCAAAGACAGACUGAUGCCUCAAUUUUAUCCAUGCAUGCAUAGUAGAUUAUAUUUUAUUUGGAACUUAUUAUUCUAAAGAGCAAUAUAACUUUACAUAUACUAAGACAGAUAAGAAGAUACCUGUAGUUACUUACCGAGAGUGAGUGAGAUAGGGUGUGAACCCCGAGUUUUGGCAAGUAUCAAGGCGUCAUCUUACCUGGUAAUAUGAGGAGGUUGCUUUUCCAGGGCUCGAACCAUUCUUCGGUCGCCUGUUAAAACAAUCAAUGAUUUGUCUAGGACCCGAACCUUUCUUCGGUUGCCUUGACGGGGGACUGCUCUUCCAGGACCCGAACCAUUCUUCGGUCGCCUGUUGGAGUAAUCGGUGGUUUGUCUCGGACUCGAACCAUUCUUCGGUCGCCGUGACAGGAAGUUGAUUCUCCAGGACCCGAACCAUUCUUCGGUCUCCUGUUAAAACAAUCCAUGAUUUGUCUAGGACCCGAACCUUUCUUCGGUCGCCUUGACGGGAGAUGCGUCGACCUUUCUCAGGGCAUCUAUUUGUGGGUGCCUGAUUUGUAUCGAGGACACCAGUUGGUACCCGACCUUUCUCGGGAGAUGCGCCGACCUUUCUCAGGGCAUCAUAUUUGUUGGGGGUGUCUGACUUCUGUCGAAGACACCAGUUGGUACCCGACCUUUCUCGGGAGAUGCGCCGACCUUUCUCAGGGCAUCGAUUUGUGGGGCGUCUGACUUCUGUCGAAGACACCAGUUGGAACCCGACCUUUCUCGGGAGGAUGCGCCGACCUUUCUCAGGGCAUCAAUUUGUGGGGCGUCUGACUUCCGUCGAAGACACCAGUUGGAACCCAACCUUUCUCGGGAGGAUGCACCGACCUUUCUCAGGGCAUCAAUUUGUGGGGCGUCUGACUUCCGUCGAAGACACCAGUUGGAACCCGACCUUUCUCGGGAGGAUGCGCCGACCUUUCUCAGGGCAUCAAUUUAUGGGGCGUCUGACUUCCGUCGAAGACACCAAUUGGAACCCAACCUUUCUCGGGAGGAUGCGCCGACCUUUCUCAGGGCAUCAAUUCUGGAAGAUACCUGGACAUUCACAAGCAUAUCAAAGAGUACCUGGAUAUUCACAAGUACUAACAUGAAGGAUAUUUGGACCUUUGCAGGCGUCGAAAUGGGUAUUUGGCUGACCAUAGGCAUUGAAGGGGUACUUGGAUGAUCACAAGUAUGAAUUCUUGGGGGAUACCUGGAUGAUCACAAGCAUAUCAAAGAGUACCUGGAUAUUCACAAGUACUAACAUGAAGGAUAUUUGGGCCUUUGCAGGCGUCGAAAUGGGUAUUUGGCUGACCAUAGGCAUUGAAGGGGUACUUGGAUGAUCACAAGUAUGAAUUCUUGGGGGAUACCUGGAUGAUCACAAGCAUCGGAGGGGUACCUGGACGAUCACAGGUACAAACUCUUUGGGGAUACCCGGAUGAUCACAAGUAUCGAAGGGGUACCUGGAUGAUCACAGGUACAAACUCUUUGGGGAUACCUGGAUAUUUGUGAAGGUGUCCCACCUCUUGGUAAUGGGAAUGUCGAGGACGUGCCUUGGAUAUUUAUGAAGGUCUCUCACCUCCUGGUAAUUGGGAAUAUCGAGGGCGUACCUGAGAUAUUCGUGAAGGUCUCUCACCUCCUGGUAAUUGGGAAUAUCGAGGACGUACCUUGGAUAUUCAUGAAGGUCUCUCACCUCCUGGUAAUUGGGAAUAUUGAGGAUGUGCCUCGCAUAUUCAUGAAGGUCUCUCACCUCCUGGUAAAGGGGAAUAUUGAGGACGUACCUGAGAUAUUCGUGAAGGUCUCUCACCUCCUGGUAAAUGGGAAUAUCGAGGGCGUACCUGAGAUAUUCGUGAAGGUCUCUCACCUCCUGGUAAUUGGGAAUAUUGAGGACGUGCCUCGCAUAUUCAUGAAGGUCUCUCACCUCCUGGUAAAGGGGAAUUUGAAUGUAGCACGAAGCUUACCUGGAUGGCCGUAGGUACUUAAAAGGGGUGGAACACCUGGAUAGCCACAGGCGUACAAAGUACUGGGAUACUUGGAUGAACACAAGUAUUUAAUGAUACAACCUGGGACCACUCAGUUGGUCCAAAUGUAGAAAGCAUACCUGGGUAGGCGCAGGCACACAAAGCAGUGGAAUGCUUGAACAACUGCUAUUAUUUGGGGACAACUCAGGCAAGUUAAGUGUCAUGAAAAGGAAGUACCUGGACAACGGUGGGUACUUGACGAUAUGGGGAUACCUAGAUAGCAGUAGGUAUUCCAAGAGAUACUUGGUUAGUCACAAGUAUCAAUACUUUGAGGACAAACUCGAAUAGGUUGAGUGUCAGGAAAAGGGAGUAUCCAAACGGUGACCGGUACUCAAAGACAACAGGGAUACCUAGACAGCAGUAGGUAUUUAACAAUGAAGGGAUACUUGAUCAGUCACAAGUAUCAAUACUUUGAGGACAACUCGAAUAGGUCGAGUGUCGGGAAAAUGGAGUAUCCGAACAGUGACCGGUACUCAAAGACAACAGGGAUACCUAGACAGCAGUAGGUAUUUAACAAUAAAGGGAUACUUGGUCAGUCACAAGUAUCAAUACUUUGAGGACAACUUGGACAGGUCGAGUGUCGGGAAAAGGGAGUAUCCGAACCGUGGCCGGUACUCAAAGACAAUGGGAUGCUAAGAUACCAGUAAGAAUCGAAACUCCAGGGACAACUCGAAUUGGUCGAGUGUCAAGAAGAGAGUACCUAGACAGUGAUAGGUACUUUAAGAUAAAUGGAGACAGGGGUAUGCUUACCUGGCAAUAUCUCUAAUUUCUGAGAGUAUGUUUACUAUUUGCACAAUAUGCACACAUGAUUGUAUAUGCUAUAAAUUCAUGAGCUCAAAUGAGAUUCAUGCAUGAUAAUUUUGUCAGUUCUGCAUCUUUUGAUUUCCACUGGGGAAGAUUUUAAAAGACAACCUUCAUUUAGAAUGUAGAUGUCUUGAGCAUGCCAGAUGAGGGACUUUCAGUCCGAAAGGACUUUUCGCUCACUCUCAUGGAAAAGGCUAUCCUGACCAUUGAUGCAGGAUUCAUAAGGACCACACUAUCUCACUGUCAUCAUGUCAGUAGGGGUCCGAGUAUUCUCGCAAACAGUACGACUUUACCAAUGUGAGAGGUCUUUGUUGAAACUGUGAUGAAGUCUUGGUCAGUGGCUCAUCAGAGGGGACCAUCAAGGUCGAAGCUGAUGGACGAAAAUGUUGCACGAUCAUCUCUGGGUUUGCAAGUCAAGAACCCUGCGAAGAGAGAUAGAGUAAUCUUGCUCGUACUUCUUCGAGCGAUGCUUAUGCACAUAUGAAAUCCUACGUUAAUUGAAGUGCCCCUAGUCUGAAGAGACUUUUACAAUGGGAUACAAUGUAGGCUUGAUUCGUGUGUAAAAAGGUGAGAGCUGGUGAUUGUCUUGGCAUUUGUCACCAGUCUUUCUUCUCACUAUCAAAUGGAUGCUCUAUGGACCACAACAGCAACAUUUUCUUGGCUAUAUUUUUGACUGAGGGACAUUGGCCUUACUUUUACCAGGCAUACUGCUUUUUCAUGCCCCUAUUUUAUUCAAGUUCUUCAUUUAUGGGCAUUGACCUUGCUUUUACUAGGUACACUGCUUUUUUAUGCCCAUGUUUUUUCAUUCUUGUUGCUUGAGAGCUAAUCUUGACAAGUUCAAGCAAACGCCUUUGUUAGACUAUUGAGUCUUCAUCUUUUGCCAGCGCUUUUGAUUAUGAUGCUCAAACGGCAGUAGCUUCUGCUUUAUCUCCAUGUGAGGGUAAAAUUACAGACUCACUUAGGUUGUACAAUGAAUACAAGUGCGUAAAGAAAGAAUUGCUCUCCAUGACUCUAGGGCACUUAAAUUAACGCGAGUGUUCAUAUGCAAUAAAGACACCCAAAGAUUGAUGCAAGUGCGAGCAAGAAAAUUUCUAUCUCUCUUCUCACCUUGUGAUGCUGCUUCGCUUCUAAUCUGCCCCGGUGUAGGGGUUGUUCUUGACGGGAGCAUAGCAGGAAUUUGUCAAUGUAUGGGGCUCAAUGGGGUGAGCGAUGGAAUGCCUCUCACUAUUUUGGUUAUCGUACCAUUCGUGAGAGAACUCUUUACCCUGUAGCCAUGGAAUCUUCUGCACUCAUCUCACAAGUGUAUAGAUGGGGGAUUGUGUGUAGGAUAUGGCUUGCCUUUCAUCAUUCUGACGUACCUCAUCCAGCAUGCUCAAUUAAUCUUGUAUUCUUCACUUAGCUGUCUAUUCUAAUAAUCCUCAGUGGAAUCAGUGACUUAGAUAGACGAAAUCAUCAUGCAGAAUUCAUCUGGAAAUGACAUGCAACAUUUUGAAUAUGAUGGAAUUUGUACUCUCGAAACAAAUGAAUGGUUUUGAAAAAAAAAAAGACCCUAUUGACAACUUUAGGGGCUAACAUAAUGGUGUUUCCAAAUAUGUUAGAUUUUGAACAUCAAAAGGGUUAUUCGCAAAUGGGUGUCGAUGGUUGUCCCUAUUGAUUAGGGAUAUGACACAUGAAGGAUCAACUGGGGUUGGGGAUCUGAUCGGGCACUCUGUCGUUGCCCCUGCAGAAGAGAAAAUGGAUCAAUCAAUAGGGCCAAAAUUAAAGGUGAAUUGAGGCCUGAAGGAUCUCUGUCAUUUGCUUUGGCAAUUACUCAGGACGCCAUUUCGUUUGGGAGAGUUUGUCAUGCCUCUUAUUGAUUUGUUAUCUUUGUUUUGGACAGUCAGGUAAACAAACAAGACAUGCUUCUCAUUGAUUCGUUAUCCUUGCUUUUGACAGUCAGGUGAUCCUGUAACAAACAAGAGAGAAUGUGUUAGUCAUGAACUUUUUCAAGAGUUGAAUAACUGGAAGCGAUACAACUUUACCCUUCACUGGUUUGCAGACGAUUGGGUGAACCUGAAGUGAGAGGGGGACACGAAGUCCUACAUCCCUUGCUUCGUUAGGUCGAAUAUUGGCUCCUGGAUGACACGUCAUUUUACACGAAAUCAGGUGAAUUCGAUGUGGGUCAUUUCCAUGUACUAGCUUGGCCAAUGUUGAUUUGCCAAACCUAACCAUCAAGUUUGGCUCUUGAAUUCGGAUGCUUCCUGUCAAUAGGGAAAAUAUGUCAAAAGCGGGUUCGAGUAGUGGGAGUAUUGGAAACAAUACCAAGUUACCCUUUCCCAGAGUUUGUAUUUGUUGAUUCCUAAGGCUAUUUGAAUAUCGAUGAUUGACUCCUUAUCUUGACACAGUUCAAUCUUUCCUUCGAUUAGCCCUCCUCAUUGGUGGCCCUGUAUGCAUGAUUGAUGGUCGUUGAUUCAUCUUUAACGCCUUCCUUCUGUGGAAUUUUUCUUCUGUCUUUGAGGAAAUUACUUCUUGCAAGAGCAUGCGUCUGAAUAGGAAGUCAGGUUUCUAGGUCCUCAUUUUGAAUAGGGGCUAGAGACCGCUUCAACUAUUUGGAUUUCUUCCCUGUUGACAGUAGCCAAUUCAAAGAAAGAGAAAAUAUCCCUUCCUUGUGCUUUUGGGCUUGUUGAAGCUGGAAGUCUCGUUGAUGAAACCACAACAUCUGGUUGCUUAGGCACAUUGUGGGAAAGGAUAUUGCUCUGGCUUGUGAAGGAGUUGGGCAAGAGCAAGGUGGAGUGUACAGAGCUCUUGGGAACGCUUGAUUCCAACCGUAUGCCCGUACCUAUUACGUCCUAUUUUUCGUUUCCUGUAAAUAGAAGAGAAAGGACAUCAUUUCUAAAAUUAUAUUCAGAGAAUAAAACUUACCUUUUUGAAACGUGAUGAUCCUUUCUGUUUGCCCCUGCUUUCUUGGAAGGGUGUCAUUGGAUUCGGUGAAUUCACAUAAUGUGCUUGCUUCAAAUGCCCCCUGUCACACUAAGUCAAAGGGGACGGGAAUGAUCUUCUGAGACAUGAAGUGAGUGAGUCAGAAAGACAAACAUGAUUAAAUUUAUCAUCUUUUUUGAAAGAUUUUGGUGAUGAAGUGUUUUUUGUUUUCAAAAUAUGUAUUCGGGGGAGAAAAAGCAUGAGGAAGCCCAGCCCUCAGUAUUCUCCUUGGAUGAUAUAUUUUUUCAUGGUUGGAUAGCAUCACCGGGCUGGUUUGGAGUACCGCCUCAUGCUCUUAAAACAAAAUAUUAUAACUGCACAAUAGAAUACUUGGAAUGGAAAAUACAACCGUAGCACACUAGAUAAGAUAAGAGACAUGAAAUUAUAAAAACAAGUAAAACUCAUGAAAACCCCUGUGUAAAGGAGCGUUUUGAUAGUGCUGGUCUUGAAGCUAAGCGUCUUUGAAUUCUUCGCCUCCAGUAGACUCGAAGUAUUCACAUGAAAGGACCACUUCAUUGAGGCUAUGGAGAUGCAACCCAUGCAACCAACAACGAUGCUUGCAAGGUAAAGCCCCUAUGAACAGCUUUAUCAUUUCUUCUUCGGCCAAUUGAGGGUAAGAUUGCAUCAUAAAAGCCUCCCACCUCCUUGCAUACGAUCGGAAAUCCUCCAUUGGUCUUCUUUUGAAGUGAACCAAGUUCUGACAAUGCACUUCAGUCCCAAUCUGGCUUUGAUACUGAAGCAGGAAUGCCGAAGACAGCUCAUUCCAAUCCUUUAGAAGAUAAAUGUUUGCUGUGAUAAACCAUUGCAAUGCAGACCCCGUAAGAGUUUCUUGGAAUGCCUGAGUUGUGAACGACAUCAGGCCAUAGUACCGACUCAUUUCCACAUGGAGAUACUGCAAGUGGGCCACGGGACAAGCUGUGCCGUUAUACUUACGGAGAUUGGGUAUCCACAUUUCUAUGGGGUUCAUGAUCCUAUGAGGGCAAGACGGGCUUGAUGUAUCUUGGUUAAGCUAAUGGUUUUCCCACUGCAUAUCUGUUGUAGUGGUGAAUUUUUCUGUUUCAGGAGAGUUGGAUUCUACCGAGAUUAUCCCAUUACUUUCUUCUUGGUCAAGAUUUCCGAAUGAGGAUGAAGUAUUGAAGCUAUUCUCAUGGUCGGAGGAUGAGCUCAAUACUUCAUUAGGAUCGUAGUGGAUAAAGACGUACGAUUCUUCUCCUGACGGGCCUUCAUCCCUGGAUGAGAGUAGGAAACAGUUAUACGAUGAAUCGUCAGUUUCAUUGUUAAAAUAACGUUGGAAGUCCUUGGGAUUGUAUUCUAGGGCCAGGAAGUCUUCAGGAUUGUAUUCUUGGGAACGCCAGAAGCUUUGGUGCGGUGGCUCGUCAGUAGAUGCUGAAUUGAUCUGCUUAGGCUUUCUUUUCUUGGCCCCUGGUCCAGACCUUUUGAGUAAGGCCCUGCGUUUCGCCAGCUCGAUUCUGUCAAGGGGAGUGAAAGACACUAGAGCUUCAUUGUCUGAUUCACUUUCCAGGUUGAUAGGGGUUGGUAUUCUUUGGACCCUAGCUCUUGGAGUAAGCUUGGGGAGUUGUCCUGUUGUGCCCCAGUCUUGAACAGGCUCUGUGUCUUGGAUCUCGUACAAAGGCUCCUUGCCUUUCCUAGUGGGAAAUUUUCCAGUAACAGGGUGUUGUUCAGCUGCCCAUUUAUCAUGCAAGGCUUCAUUGACAUGCUCUUCUCCUAUCUCAGCGACUAACGGUUCCUUGUGCUCCGCAAUCAUCGGCUCUUCGUAGGGCAGGGUGAUGUCAAGAUUAUACUCUUGGUGAAAAACAUGAAUUAGUUCCCUCCAGGUUUUAAGGUGACUAAUCUUCCUGACAAUGUACCAUCGCAAGGCAGGGCCAGUCAAGCUCGAUUGGUACGAUUGAAUCAUCCUUCGAACCAGGUAGGCCUGUAAGUAAGUCUCUGGACGGGGGGUAUCAGCAUACCUUUCGCAUUCAGGUGCUUUGAGCUCUUCAGGAAUCUCAAUGCCGGCGUAAUUGGACAGGUCCAUGGGAUUCUGCUCCUACAGCUGGCUUAACUUUUUCAUAAUUUUUUCAAACUGUCUAUGGUACUGGCUAUUUUCUGGCAAAUUCGCAGGUGUCAUGACGGUGUUUGAGGCAACUAUAGAGUUGGGCUCAGCUUGAGUGGAUUUCAUUUGUCUCGAGAGUUGUUGAAGGACAAUGGACAUCUGUCCUACGCCGUCUUCAAUGUUAAUGAGGCGAUUUUGUACAUCAUUUUGAUCGGGCCCGAUUGUAUGAGGCCAUUCGCGAGUGAUUGGUGGCUGGCGAUUCAUAGUUACCUGCUUGUUGCGAAAACAAUGAAUGAGCAUGAAAGUAAACGAAGAUUGACCCAUGGCAAUGGUCUAACUGCUUUUUUAUUUAUCAAAAGAGGAUUUUAUAGACUGCAGACUUCUGACAUCUAAAACUUGAAAUUGAAAUGACAGAAUGAAAUACUAGAUAUUAAACAAAAGUCCCUAAACAAUGGGACGAAACUUUCACACUAUUAAUACUAAGGGGCACAUGAUUGCCAAUUUAUAUGCGACGGGGAGCCUUGUUCUUGCGAGAAUGGUUGCUUCCUUGGGCUGGCUCUGAGGUGUGCAUCCAGUCCAUUCCCAAAUCCCUCUCCAUGAGCUCUACUUGCUCGUGCUGGCUGCUCUCGCUGAUUAAGUGAGGGACUGAUGGCUUCCAUUUUUUCGGGAUGCGAUGGUUGUGGAUGUAGGACAUGGAGGCGUGGUGGGCUUUUUCUUCUCCCUCAAGCCCUUCAGGUACCACGAUCCUUUUGCGAUGGCACUUGGCCCAAGUUUCCUGAGCGGUAGAAACUUCGAAUUCGUAGUCACGGCUUGUAUUGAAAAGAACUGAAGAGACCUUCCUGAUGGAAGACGAUGGGAUCUCCUGAAGGGCUCCAUAUUGUCGUGCCACCCGAUAAGGGUGAUAGAGAAUGGCGCCGGUGCGGCCAAGCAACGGAAUUGGGAGAUCACGCUUAUAAGCGAAGCGAGCUCUUUUUUCAUGGAACCAACCAGCACACCAUUGGAAUGCCUCAGGAGCUGGGUCUCUUAGGAAGUUUACCCAAUUUAAACAGCUUUGAUUGGGAAUAUACGGUCCUAAAACGAUAAAUUUUUGUAAUGGGUUUUCAAAAGCAUUCGUUUCAGAUGAUCGCAUGAAGUCUCGAAAUUCGCUUAGGUGAGAAAAGAACCAGACUUGUAAAAUUUCAGGAGAGGCUCGCAUGAUUUUCUCUGAGUUGUCUUUAAAACGAUUAAAGGACAAGAAUGUUUCAGUUAAAAUCAUGUUGACAUAAUUCCCCCCUCUUAAGAUCUGAUCAACUAUCCAUGCCAUCUUGGGAGUUAUGGCAUUUCUUUGAUGGGGGAAGAUGAUGAGCCCGAAAAAGGCCAAGAGGAAAAUUUCACUUUUCUGGGUCAUAGGCUGAUUUUGGAAACAUGCAUUCAUAAAUUCCAGUGGGCAGGUUUUAUGGUUAUCUUCAAGAAUUUGUAUCAUAGUAUGGACUUCAGUUCUUAAAAGCCGUGCUAACCCACGUAUCGGGAUGAGGCCUGUUGAUGGUUUGAUAAGCUUUUUCUCAAGAGGCAUUCCAGUGAUGAUGCUGUAUUCUUCCAGGGUUGGGGUUAGCUCAAAUCUACCAAAUAUAAAAGCACCGUCUUCGGGCACCAGAAAUGUGCUAUGGCUUGUAUGACUUCAGGGCGAACAGUGAUUUGGAUCAACGAUAGGAGAUGACCGACUUUGGCCUUCACACGCUCUUGGGCAAACUGAUCUAACUGACCCCACCAUCUGAAGAGCUCUGCCUUGGGAGUAGGAAUGAACUGGAUAUCGUCCUUCCCCAUCGCAUAUAAACUGGGACUUGAAAAGCUUAUCCUAAAUUGCCAUGAGCCAAAUAAAAAGACUGUGUAAAAGUAAAGAAAUCACUUUGCUUUUAAAUAAAAUGGCAAGCACAAGGACAUGCACAUGGGACGUGCGGCUCGAUUUCUAACUGAGAAGGCUUGGUGAGAUUAAAAGGAUAUCCGCCCGUCGCAGUCUCGCGUUAGCAGCAUACCCUCCUAACCUCGGCUAAGAAAUUCGGGGAAAAGAAAGGCAACCUCUAUAUCGCAGUCUCGCGUUCGAGGUCGUAUCUUUCUUAACACCAUCCUAGAAAUCCUAUGGCGGCCCAGGUCCGGCGGCCGGGUUGUGUGUGUCAUGUGUAGUGUUUAAAACAGUAAAGCAUGCACAACAGUUUAUAAUCACAAAAACAUUUUAUUUUAACAGAAUAAAAAAACUUUAAGCUAUUACCCUGCAUAAAAAAAAAAAAAAAAAAAAAAAAAAAAAAAAAACCAAGUCAGCAAAGCAUUUAAACAAAGAUAAAAUGGCCUAAGUCCUCAACCUCCCCAGCGGAGUCGCCAAGCUGUCGCGACCUCUUUUUUCUCGGCGCCCGCAAUUGGGUACGAGCGCCUAAAGGAGGCUAAUGGCUCGGCUGAAUUUAUUAAGCCCGGACUCUCCCAAGUCCACCAAUUCACGACUUUAAUAGUUUGAGUUUUUAACCUAUAAAUCAAUUUUUAAAAUGGAGUCGCCACUAAUCGAUUUGGGGUGGGUUGAUUAGAAACCCAAGUGAAGUAUCGGGAGAAAUACUCACUCCUGCGCAACCAGAGAAAUUAGGAUCGGGGACUUGAUUACACUAGUUAAUCACUAAUGCCCUUUCGGUAUCUAAUCUUGUUUAAACCCUAAGGCUUUUUGAAUGUUUGAGAGAUUUUCCAUGCAUUUUUGGGAGGAAAAACAUUUUUUGAGUCAUUUUCUAAUUUUUUUGGACACAAAAGGGAUUUUUGGGGGUUUUUUGGUAUUUUUUUGGAAAAAUACAAGUCUUUCUGGCUUUUUCUGAAUUUUUGGCUUUUUUUUGGAAAAUAUGAAAUAUUUUUGAUAUUUUUGAUUUUUCGAAAAAUAAAAUAUUUUUUAAUAUUUUUUUGAUAUUUUUGGAAAAUAAAUUAUUGUUUGAUUUUUUUAAAAUAAAAUAUUUAUUAUUUAUUUAUUUAUUUAAAAUAUUAUUUUUAUAUUAAAAUAAUAUAAAAACUGACCCGGGUUGGAUCCGCGGGUUGGGUCCGACCCGGGCCAGCGAUCCGAAUGAGGACGGGCCCGCAACGCGGGCUUGACUCGGAUAUUUUCGUCACUUUUUUUCAAAAAACAAGGCCCAAACCGAUUUUGGCCCACUUUCGUUAUAUAAAAAAAAUCCAGGGAUUAACCGGCCCACACGCGCAGGCCCACAUCUGGGGGGGAAACCCUACCCGAUCGCUGACCCAUGCCCGACCCGCUUUCCUACCCGGCUUCUCCUUCGUAGAACCGGAUUUUGGGAACCCUAGAGCUCAACGAUUUGCAGCGCUGAGAUGGGGCCUAGCUGGGAUGUCACCGGGUGAUGACUCGACGCCGACGACGUGGCGAACGGCGGCGACAGGCAGCAGCUGGGGUUGAAGUGUAGGAGGGAACGGCGGACAGGGGUGACCGAGCUCGUACUCACCUGCGGUGAGCUGGAUCAAUCGGUGCCUGGCGUGGCUCUGGUCGACGUGGCACGGCGGGGGAGUAAAUCCGCGGGGAUGGAUCUGCGUCGAGGGGGCGGAAGCAGUAGCUGGCAACAGGCAGCAGCUUUGCUGCAGCAGAUCUGACGAAAGGGGAUGGCAACGGCGGGUAGGUGCUGAAGCAAUCAGUGUCGGAGGACGGCGGUACAGCUCGAGGCAGCUCCUUCUGGUUUCUCUUCUCUCCAGCCCCUCCCGGUGGAUCUGGAACUCUCUCCUCUCUUCCUUCGAUCUGGGCUUGCGAGUGUCGAGCCUCCCCCGAAGUCUCUCGGGGGAAGCUUGAAUGCUCGCAGCUUCGAUCUCUCUCCUCACGCUCGGAUCUCUCCCCUUCGCUUCUCACUCCGGCUAGAUCUGAGCCUCCACCGGCCGGAUCUAACCUCCCCGAACUCGCUCACCGGCAACCUCCCCCGAAGUCUCUCAGUGGGAGGUCGGCCGAGCUCGCGACCCGAGUCCUCUCUCGCUCGCUCUUCGAUUCCUCCCCCGAAGUCUCUCAGUGGGAAGAUCUCAGAGCUCGCUCGUGCUCCCUGGCCUUCCCCCCCGACACCCUAUUUAUAGGCGUGGGGGUGCCGGUCGGCAAAGGCUAGACCGGCGGUCUUUGGUGCACUAACCGGCCUUCCUUCGCCGGCCGAACCGGCGUCAGUUCCUCCCCUUCCACGGAGGCUCGCUUGCCAUCAAUGCUGCGUCCUCUCAGCCACCGGCCUACGCUCCUCUCUCUGCUGUAGGUGGUGCUCAAGCGCGUCUUCGUCGGAGCGCGUGACUUGCAAAGGCGGAGGAAGGAAGAAGAUGGGAGGAAGAAGACAGAGAAAAAAAAGGGGGGUAGGCCAAGUCGUGCGAGCCCACGUGAAGAAAAAGGGGGGGCUGCUGCUUUUGUUUUUCUUUUGUUUUUUUCUGUUUUUUUUCUGUUUUUUUGGUUUUUCUAUUCAUUAUUAUUUUUUUAUCCGAAAAAAGAUAAAAUAAAGUAAAACUAAUUAAUAAACCUAAUUAAAAUUGCGGUGUCAACAAUAAAUUAUACUAACAUGAGUCACUCGGAUGACUAAAAAUCGAACCUUGAACUUGUUUUGAUUCAUGUGGAGCUCCGAGUUCUAAUUCGAUUGAGUGUGAAUACAAUUUUUUUUUUGGCUGUGAUUAUGUGAAAAUUUGACACAUUUUCUCUGUCAUUUGGCUGGUGAUUGCUUAUUCAAAAACAAUGCUACAACUUCUUUUUUCCUUUUUGUCAGAAAUGAAUCAGAGCUUAUACAAAGAAUUGUGAAGGAAAUCUCCACUCGCCUAAACCAAACACCUUUGCAUGUUGCUAAGCAUCCGACUGGGAUAGAUUCCCAAGUGGUUAAGCUGAAAUUGAUGUUACAUCUUGAAUCUAAUGAUGAUGUUGUCAUGGUGGGAUUAUGGGGACAAGGAGGCAUAGGGAAAUGAACUUUAGCAAGAGCUCUUUACAAUGUUAUUUUUAGACAAUUUGAGGGUUCAUGUCUCCUAGCAAAUGUUCGAGAAGCACAAAAUUUCAAGGAUUUAAUUUCAUUGCAAGAAACUUUGCUAUUAGAGAUUUUAUCACUACAACAAAAAUUAGAGGUGUCCAGUGUUGAGAGAGGUAUCAAUCUAAUACAGCACAGACUUUGUCACAAAAAAGUUCUCCUCAUCCUUGAUGAUGUGGACGACUUGUCCCAACUAAAUGCUUUGGCAGGAGAAGACAAGUGGUUUGGUAAUGGGAGUAGGAUCAUUGUUACUACAAGAGAUAACCAUUUGCUAACUUAUCUUGGAAUAGAUCAAGAUCAUGUGUACGAAGUUAGAGAACUAAAUAACAAUGAUGCUCGUGAGUUGUUUAGUAAGCAUGCUUUUCGGACACACCAAGACUCUGGAAUUAGGACAGAUCUAGUGGAUAGUGUUUUAAAUCAUGCUAAAGGCCUUCCUUUAGCACUUGAGGUGCUAGGUUCCUUCUUACGUGGCAGAACAAAAUAUGAAUGGGAAAGUGCACUGGAUGAUAUUUCUACGGCUCCUAAGAAAGAAAUCAAUGAUCUGCUUAAAAUAAGUUACAAUGGAUUAGCGCCAAGAGAGAAAGAGAUCUUUCUCCACAUUGCUUGCUUCUUCAAGGGGUGGGAUAGUGAGUACGUAAAGAAAGUUCUUGACAGUUGCGAUCUUAAGGCAGUAAUAGGAUUAAACAUUCUCAUGGAGAGGUCUUUGAUAAGAAGUGAGUGUGGGAAAUUACAAAUGCAUGACUUGGUUCAAUUGAUGGGUAUGGAUAUUGUGAACCAAGAAAGUGAUGAUCCUAGGAGGCGCAGCAAAUUAUGGCAGUAUGAUGAUGUUGUCGAUGUUCUGUCAAGCAACAUGGUAAGACUAGCAAACACCAACAAAAUUCUGCUCCUUAUCUUUUUGGGCUCUAAGUACUGAACAUGAAUAACCUAAAUAGUCUUGGAAAUGCAGGAAAAUCGUGCUGUAAAAGCCAUAUUGUUGAAGCCACCUGAGCCAACAGAGAUGUGUAUCAGUCCUGACGCUUUUGCAAAAAUGAGAAGGCUGAGAUUGCUCAUCUUGUGCAAUAUUCAUGAUUUUUUCCAAGGUCCUAUAUGUCUUCCUAAUGGGCUUACAUGGUUUGAGUGGACUGGAUGUGCUUCUCAAAUUCCAGAAUUUUCCUCCGGUCCAAAGAAAUUAGUAGGACUUAAUAUGAGUGAAGGCAAUAUCACAGGAGUCAUAAAACAAUUUAAGGUGAGAAUUUACCUACAUAGACUUUUUUAUUAUCUGCUUCAUUUGUAUAUGUAUAUGCUAUAGUCUAUACUACUACACUAAAGGAAGGGGUGUUCCUAUGUUUUAGAAACCACUUCUCUAAUUUCUUUCAAAAUGAUGCUAAAUUCUUGCUUUACAAAUAUUUUUACGUGCAGCAAAAUUGGCAUUUGAAAAUUAAGCAAACAACUUUAUUAGUAAUACUCAAUGGAAACAUGUUAAUAAAAUACACAUUACAAAGAAGCUUUAUACAAAUACGUGGAAAGAGAAAGAUAUAUCAAGAUUUGAAAUUUAUUUAUGAAGGUCAUUGCAUAAUUAGAAAAUUCAAAUUUUAAUACUAAAAAAAUGUGAGAGAUAAAAAAUAAUAUAAUCAAUUUCAUGUCCGUAUUAUAAUAUCUGUAAAAUAAGUAAAAGAGGAUAAUUGAUAGAAGGAAUAUAAAAGAAAAAAAAAAGAUAGAAAUCUUUUAAAGUAGGAGAUCAUCUUUACCUUAUCUAAUAUCUCUAACAAUCGACAUAGAUAUAUUUCAAAAUCAGAUCUCAUCUACCUAGUUAAGAUAUUCAAAAUACAAUUUGCUGUCGGUUGUUUACAUAUAAAAUUUUUUAUUCAACAGAAAACUUGUAUAAUGAUCAAACAAGAAGGAAACAAUAAAAUGACUAACCUACCCGUUGACAUACAAGUAGAAGUAAAAAUACUCGAGGACUAACAGGCUGAGUGGUAGGCCACGUGGUCACCAAGUGAUAGAGCAUUAUCCAAUGCAUAUACCUAAAUGGUGGGGAUUUGUCCGGCGUCAAUAAAUUUAGCUCAGUCGAAUGUUCGAUUGCAUCAUUCUGUAAAACCAGGUACUAUUAAUUGCUUAAAUAAUUUCUCAAGGAGCAGCACUUCCAAGUGGAUGAUAGAGUAUUUAAAAGGAACUUUGCUAGUAAUGUGUGUAAUGUGUGCACAACUAAAUCGAUAUGAGUGGUCCAGUAGGGCCAUAGCACUAGUUUCUUAAUAGAAAAUCAGAGCUAGAUUUUGAAUUAAGUAUAUGAAAUUUUUAUUUUUUGAAUGUUUAUCAAAGAUGGCUUCAUUGUCUUUGCCUGACUUCAAUUUUUUUUUCGAAGUUUAUUAAUUUUUACACAAUUACAUUGUGAUAGUGUUUACGUACCCUAUUCAUCUAUGACAUACAAUUAAAGCUAGAACUAGCGGUCUUUAUUCUCACGCUUACAACGUGGCACUUCACUUUGCUUUUGUGAUUGUCACAUCACAUGACAUGUGGAAUAGUUUUGUCAUGAGGUCUUCAUAUGCACUUGUCACACGACACUUCACCAUGCUUCUAUGAUUGUCACAAGGCAUGAUGCAUGUCAUAAUUUUGUCAUGUGGUCCACAUUUGCAUGCUCGUGACAUGAUACUUCACUUGAAUUUUAUGAUUGUUACAUGCAUGACACACGGCACAGGUUUGUCCCAAACUAAUUUUCGUUUGGUAAUGGAUGGUAGCUAUGGGUGAGGAGUACCAAUUUAGGAUUCUUUUGUUAAAAGAAAAUUAGUUUGAGGUAACUGUAUCAUAAUGGUAUCGGUUUAGGAUUUUUAUGAAAUGAAAAUUAAUUAAGAGUAAAUUUAUGUAUAGAUUUGGGAUUUUUAAUGAUAUUAAUUCUAAUUUUUUUAAUAAUUGUCUACACAAUUUUAAGUGUGAAAUUUUUUAUGCUGUGUACCUAUAUAUUAUCUAAUUCUUUCAUGUGGUGUAUAUACAAUAUAUAUAAAAAAGGAAAAAAAAAAAAAAAGGAAGCUAUAAGAGUGAGUAGAAGUUAAACCAACAAAGUUCAAUAUGCGCACAAUUAUUUCUAUACACGCAAAUACAAUUGUUAUAGAUUAUGUAAACAAGCGAUAAAUUUAAUUAUGAGUAUUGUCGCAUAAAAUAUAUGUACUCUUUUUAGGGGUGAUAAAGACACCUGAGGUGCCCCCUCCUAGUAUGUUUUCUAAGGGAAAAAAAUCAUACCAAACGUAGUUUUAAUCUCAAAGCUGCCUUUAGUUGUAUAGACAUUUUCGCUGCAUCUGACAAGAUUGGGUAAAAUAAAGAUAGAAUAGGAUUUCGAAUAUUCCAUAUAUUGCCUGACAAGUUUUUGGAUAUAUAAAAUAUGGAUAUAAAUAUAUCAUUCAAAUGAUUGCUUGGUGUGCAAGGACAAAAUUGAAUUAACCAUAGAAUAUUACAAAGAUUUUUUAAGAUUUUGGAAAAAAAAAAGGAUAACAGUUUCUAAUGUAACAGUUUCUAAACAGGUCACUUUGGUAAAUAAGGAUAUCUUAUUCUCUAUAUCUAUACUGGCGUAACUCUUUACUGCAUUUUAUAGUAUGGGCAUAAGAAAGAAUUGUUCCGAAAUAAUUUAUGAAAGAACUCGACAAGUGAUGAACCUACAUAGGUCAAAUGGCACGGACUUAACCAGCUCAAGGGCUAGCAGGGUCUUCACACGGCUUUUAAGUAAUCGAGUCUUUACGCUGUGACUCUAGAUUAUUAAAAAAGAGGGGGGGGGGGGGGGGGGGGGGGGCCAAAAAUUUGUGAAAUAAUUUGAGGGAACGUGGCCGGGAAUUUUAAAAAAAAAGGGGGAAAUUUCCUUGGAAAAUUUCCAAAAAAAAAAAAAAAAAAAAUCCAAAAUUCCUUUAUUAUUGGAGAAUCUAAAAAAAAAAAAAAAAACGUUGUGUACCUAUAUAUUAUUCAACUGUUGUCUAAAAUAUAAAAUGAUAAGUUAUCUCUGAUUUGCUAAAGUGAUGAUGGAAACCAAAUUGCUAGGUAUAGCUUAGUCAUACGUGUGCCAUGCAACACCACUUCAUGCAAGCUUUGCUGAAAUAUAUACAUGCUUAUAUAUCUCUAUAUAUAUCAUAGAUUUGUAAUUACUGGUAAAGUUUGAAAGUGUUGAGUCAAUUCUCAAUACAAAAUAUACUUUACAAGAAAAAAAUGAAAAGUUAAUUUAUAGAUUAAUAAAUUUUAUUUGGACUGUGCAAAAAAAGAAAUUACUCAGUAACCUAAAUAGUAGAUUUCAAGUUGUCUGAUCUACUGACGCUCCUUGCUUCCUUCCACAUGAAGAGUUUUGUGGCCCUAGGAUAUGUAAUUAUGCGAUACCGGCCAAUAUAUAUAUAACAGUCAAGGAUAUGUAAUCACGACAAAUCCUUUCCCUGUGAAACCAUGCAUCCCCAUGUGUUGUAUAGCCAAUUUUAUAGCCCCUACAAAUAAAUUAUGAUAUUAUUAAUCAUCAAUAUUAUAAAACUAGGGACAAUGUGAAUGACAUUUGAUAUUGAAUUACCAUCAUUUCACAAGUUUGACUCUCCAGUCCAUGCACAACAACUAGCAUACGCCUAUUUGUGGAGUCCGCGGCAAAUCACCCUUAUAUUAAAUCAACAAAUCGCUCAAUAUGUACAAUCAACAACCCAAAAUAUAAUAACUUUUUGAAAGAUCAAUAACAGAUUUGCUUCAGUGGCAACCUAUUCUCAAAUGGGAAUCCCACGGUUUAUAUGUAAGGAAGUGACGUCAUCAUACGAGCACCCCUUUUGUGUUCCUUUCAGAAUGUUUGUCCAAAGUUGUUUCCGUUGUUUUUGCAGGACUUCCAAAAUUUGAAGUACAUUAACUUCAGUUACUGCAAGUCGUUGGUUCGCAUGCCCGACCUCUCAAGUACUCCAAAUCUUGAGGAAUUAAAUCUCCGUAAUUGCAAAGACUUGGUGGAAGCUCACAAGUCCAUCGCAUAUCUCAACAAGUUACAAGUGUUGAAUUUAGAGGAGUGCUCUGCACUUAGUGUUUUUCCAAAUGAGCUCCGGUCAAAAAAUCUUCGAGUUCUCAAUUUUAAAAAUUGCACAAAGUUUGAAAGGUUCCCUGAUAUUCUACAUAAACUCGAAGCCCUGAAAGAGCUUUUUUUUAGAAAGAACCGCUAUUAAAGGACUUCCCGCAUCAAUAGAAAAUCUUGUCUCUUUGGAGUGUAUGUAUUUAAGUCAUUGCAAGAACUUGACGAGCCUUCCGUCUAGCAUUUACACAUUACAAAACCUUGAAGACUUGGCUCUUGAUUUUUGCACAAAUUUAAUCGGGUUUCCAAAAUACGAGGAUUCAACUAAUCCUUGCAUGACGACCCAACUUUCAAACUUACAUCGGUUAAACCUUUCGGAAUGUAAUUUGUCCGAAGUAGACUUUCUUCAAAAUCUUUCAUGUUCUCCAUUCUUGACAACAUUAGUUCUGUCGGGGAACAAUCUUACUGGCCUUCCUACAUCGAUCAAUAAACGCCAUCAUUUGUUCUGUUUGUUUGUUAAUAAUUGCCAUCAAUUACAGGAGAUUCCCGAGCUUCCACCAUUUUUGUCUAGUUUUUGGGCGGAUAAUUGCGGAUCUUUGCAAAAUUAUGGAGAUUUAACUUCAAUUCAUGAUUUUGUUCGCAGAGGGUUGACCACGGCUGAUAUUUCUUCACAUGACGAGGUUAGAUUCUCUCUCUCACGCAUACGUGUGCACACGCACACAUGCAUAUCGAUGUGGACUAUAUACACUGGAUUCAAUGCGUGGUUGGAUAUUGCAAUAAUAGAAAAUGCAAGAUUGGAGGCUGAAGAAAAUCAAACAAAUAUAAAGUGGUUCCACAUGUGUAUGCAUGUAAUGGAGUAGGCUACCGUCUUUUAGGGGAAUGAUUUCUAUCACAUGAGGCUUGUAUACUAAUGCAAGCAAGGAUCAAUGGAUCUCUACUCGUUUAUAGAGUUCCGAGUCCAAGUGGAACUCCGUAGGAUUACUUACUAAAUUCAAAUUGAAUUUUUCUAUUACUUACUAAAUUCAAAUUGAAUUUUUCUAUUUGGGUACUAAUAACAAACUUGGGUACUUUCUAAUGAUUUAUCUUUAUUUCAGUAUUUGGAAUACGGUAUUUUUCUUCCUCGAGAAGAGAUGCCAUAGUGGGUUCACCCUAUUGAAAAGGAGUCUAUAUCUUUCAUGGCUUCAAAAGACUUGUAUGACAAGUUUUUGGGAUUUGCUAUAUGUGUCGCUCUCAACAAGCAUUAUAUCGAGGCGGAAGACUCAUAUGAAAUUGUUACCCAUGUUAAUGACCAAGAACAGAAAAAUCUUGUCUGCACUGAUCUUCCGUUGGAGUUGGAUAAUAUCCACCUUCUUUAUUUCACACCCUUAAAGUUGUGGGGGUAGUCAAUUUCGGUCAAAUUGACGGAAGAUAUGUAAAAUUUGACUUCACAGUAUCUAGUUAAUACAUGAAAAAGUGGGGAUGUCGGAUAUUAUGUGAGCAACUAGAGGACAAUCUCAAAGUUAUGCUUCAAGAUAAUCGGCUAAUCGAUCCAGCUUUACUCUACGAGAUUGAUCAUGAAUCAACAUAUUCAAGGGUCGAGAGUUUAUUUAUGUAUGAAGAUGGUUCCACCGAAACAAAGAGACAGAAACACUUGCAAGAUUAUCAAAGGAGAAUUGCGAAAUAUAAUCCGUCAGCACCGAAAAGAAGCCGUGAUCCAUUCUACUCAGAGCGAGCGAAUCAAGACUGUUGACUGCCAGUUUGACCGAUGGAGCAGAGAAUGAUCGAGAAACUUGCUUAGGAAGCAAUUCGUUGGUAAGCAAGCUCCCUCAUUUUAUUAUUAUUUUUUGGGCUCUUCUCGUUCUCUUCUCUUUGUCUCUUUUCUUUGUUUUGCUAAAUCCUCGUUUUCUCCAUCGACGCCACUUUCAGCAUCGUGGCUGAUCAUCAUCUUCCGUCUGACGCCGCCGAGCUCUGGCGAAUUCAAGAUCGCCACCUGUCAACGGAAUCGACGAACAGAAGAAGUACGUCUUCCUGAAACGGAGUCCCUAGCGAAUCGACGGCGACGGUGGCGGAGACUGGCGAGCGGAGGCGAUGGACUACCACCGCCGACCAAAGCCAUGGAAACUGAUGAAGCAGCUUGGGGUGAACGAUUCUCUCCUGAGGUUCUGGUCUUCAUGCAGAUUGCUAUUAGAUCAGCUCGAUUUUGAAUUCGGUUUUUGCGGUGCUGCAAUUGCGCGGGAUCUCGAAGCAUGCGUCCGUGGAUUUGUUCGAGAGACGUUGAAUAAGGUGUUUCUUCGUAAGUUUGGUCUAUGGAUGCUUGGUAGUGAAUUCACUAGCAAUCGAUGUUACACGCUGCAAAAUCAACAACAAUCCCCAGUAGGAGGUAUAGCUUUUCUUUCUUUCUUUUGAUAAGUGGCAAUUUAUUCAAAGAAGUAGGUGAAGUCUAGGUUCAACGGAAAAACAAGCGAGGGAGAGUGAAACAAUGGGAAGUAGCUUGUCCGUGGUUUGGUUUAGUGCGCUUUUCAGGUGAAAACUGAGCCAAUCAGGGUGCUGCAGGUUGGGACUCCCUUAUGCAAAACCAGGCAUUGCUGUGGACAACCACCCAUAGCGGGGUUGGGGUUCGGGGGUGCUUUUGAGGUGUCUAGGAAAUGUGGAUGUAGUAUGUACAAUUCAUAAAGAUGUACAGCAGGCGAAAGGUUUUCCAGGACUAUUGAAUUGUGAGAAACUUCGAUGGCCAGGAUAGGGCUCUGUCUCUACGUUUUAUGUGGCGCUUGAAGAGGCAAAACCAUUGAAGAAUGAAGAAGAUGCAGUGAAAUGGCAAGCCAACAGGAAAGGUUGCUGGACUUACCACUUGUUGACUUUGGCAUCUACGGAGAAUUAAAAACCAAAUUUACUUGGAGCAUGAGAGUAAUAUAAACAUCAGUUGUGCCCAUAUAUAAUCGGUAGGUGGUAUUUUCUUUCUCCCUGUGGACAGUGGGUAUGAAAAAGAAAAAAAUCACAAGAAACGCGGAGUUUACAUAAGUUAUUCACUAGAAUAGAGAUAAAAGCACAAGAAGCUGAUUGUCAACUCUGAUUCCUGAGGCCUUCGGUACAGUUUAACGUUCUCUUUUUAUGCUUAUGUGCCAGAGCGUUUAUGGAGGAAAUUGACCCAAAAGCUAAAGCUUCUGGAAGCUUCUUGAAUGUUUGAGUGAAACCUAAUAAAUGGAAGAUAAGCUUAUGAGGUACCAAUGAUAGGACACACUGGAACGAGCAAUGCGUAGUUUCUCAAAUUAGUUGCUAUUCUUGCUUUAGAGCCAUGUCAGUUCAACAAUUAGGUGGGAUUUGCAUCUAAAUUACAGGAUGAGAAUGUGGUAGUAACCAUUGCUUUGGACCAGCAAGAUCUUGAUCACAUAGGUAUGAGACAUGCAUUCAUUCCAUCCGUAGCUAUAGUACAUGCUGAAUAUUUCUACUGGCAGCAACUUGAUGCUGAUUUCCUCUUGAAUUGCCUGUAUGCAUUUGUGCAUGCAUGAGAGAAUUUCUGACUCUUAUCCUCAUGUUUUCUUCUCCUAACCAGUAACAAGACCUAUUUGCUUUUCUUAUAUAAGACAAAGCUUGCAUUGGACAUCCUUGAAGUUCUAAUGGGAUAAGAAACUGAUUUUCAGUAAUUAGGUGCAUUUCAAAUAUAUGAACUCAUUGUCUAAUUAAGAUAAUUAGUAUUUUAGUCUAAAUUAGUGAAUGGUUUUACUGCAUACUUCACUUAUUUAUAAUAUACUUUGAUUGAACAGCUGUGUGAUUGUUGAGGAUGGAAGUGUUAUUGUGGCAGGAAGAAACCGGACUUAUCAACCACGAAAUGUAUGCUCGUCAUUGCUUCUCCACCCCCCUUCUAUAAAAUUUUGUUGACAGUACAUUGUUACCAUUCUGAAUUGAUACCCUGGAACUAUCCACUUGUAGAUUCUUGUUGAUCAUUUUAUGUUUCUCCCUUAAUUAUUUCUUUAAUAGAUCAUAUAAUAAUAUAUCUGAACAAAUCUGUUAAUAGUGGAAUUUUGCAUGCAUAAUUAGGCUAUAAAGGGUUUUGUUCACAUUAUUCUUUCAUAAGAUAUGGCUAUGGCCUACAAUAGCAAUAUUCUUGCUUUAUUAUGCAUAAUGUGUUGCGUUUUUCAUUUGCCAUUGUGCUCUGUCCGGAGCCAUAUUAUGGUCUUUAUCUGCUUUUCUGAAGUUCCUAACAUUGUUCUCUUGGGCUGUAUGCUAGCUUGACUUUCUUAUUCUUGCUUGGUAUAAAAAUGCAUUGAGAGCAUUGCAUUGUCUUUUAAGAUUUAGGAACCAACUCCUUGGGCACAUUUCUUCAUACAAUGGCCACAUGUACACAAAUAGUGUAAGCCAGGUUUCCGGUAUAGAUCAUCUCCUAUCUAAUAGUCUAGCUGCAAUUUUUUGUAGUUAUAUGGUGACAAUACAAUACUAUAAAUGAUUUUGUGGACAGUAAUGAAUAGUCGAUACGAAAAAUAUUUGGCCCUUUAAAUAACUCAUGGAGCAUACUGAAAGAAGAAAGGCACCUUGCUACAGGGUAUAUUUGAAAAUCUGUUAGAAAAGGUGGAGGUGGCUAAUCCAAGAAGAAGCCAUUUUUCCAUGUGAGAUUCUCAGCAACUUCAAGAGAGCAAAACUUGUUGAGUUCGUGUAGUGUAUGCCCUAAUCUAUCUUAUAUAUACUCUCAAUUGGUUAACCUGAAGGAGAAAAACAUUUCUCAUGAAAUGCAUAUCAUAAAUUUAUGCUAACCUUCUUACCAAAAAAAAAAAAAAUUAUGCUAACCUACACUGUAAGAAACUAUCUUUCUGACAGCUCCUAAAUUUGAUAUGCUUGCUUUUUUUUUUCUCCUUGCUCUUUCAUAUGGAACAAGAUAUGCAGAGAUGGAAGCUCUUGAUGUCCUUCAGGAACAGUGGCAGAUGACUGGAUUUUUAGCUACAGAAGUUGCAGAGAAGUUUUCGGCAUGCUCCCUUUAUGUGACAUGUGAACCAUGCAUAGGUGUGCAGCACCAUUAUCGAUCAUUGGUACAUCUGUUGGUCAUACUAAAAUAAAAUUAAACUUUCCUGAAUUGGUUUAUUCAUGAAUGAUUAGAUUUCUUGUACCCCUUUUAGGUAUAAAGGAAGUAUAUUAUGCCCGUGCAAAUGAUAAAUUUUGAGGCUGUGGCUCAAUACUGGCGUUGCAUUCAAGUAGCUCCAAGGCAUGCAUUUCUGAACUUGCUUUUGUUGCUGAUUUCGUAUCUACUUAGCUCCACUUUGCAAUUGUGACAUAUGAUGAUUGACAACUAAAACUUACUGGCGGUCUUCCUUAUGUUGAUUACUGAUGGAUGUGAUUUCGUAGUGAUUCUGUUUGUUGUCACUAUUUAAAUAUUGCAACACAUAACCAUGAAAAGAAAUGGAGGUUUGUGGAACUAAUUUUCCAUCUUUUCUGUCCUUAAGUGGAGUUUCUGGGAGUGUCUAGAAGUCAAGUAUAUAUUAAUUCUAAAUUUCUCCACUUUGUUUCCUUUUCCUUGAAUUCAUUGUGAUUUCUUAGACAUUUCCAUAUUCUUUUCAUAUGCCCUAAAAGAUGUACAGUUAUGGGAAGUGCUAUAAGUUAAGCUAACAUUAGAUUCUUCUUUCCUGUUCCCUUUACCCCUUGUUUCUCAUGUUUUCUCACUGCAGCAAGAUUUUUGAUGCCUUUAGUGUUGUCAUGGUUAAAUAUGGAAAUCUGCAAGGAAAUGUGAUAUUUUAAUUAUGAGUCAAUUAUGCUUUGCUUUCUGACAUGCUAUGGGCAAUAUACUUGAUAAAGAAACCUCUUUUUGUGUUUAAUAGUUGUAAUUGUCUCUUCUUGCAUAUGUGAGAGCAGGUGCCUACUAAGUUGCGCUGAACGGCUUCUGUUUCCAGAAUGAUUUUUCAUUUGUUAGAUGCUGCUAUGAUCUAAAAUUUCAUGUUUUCUAAGCUUUUUUAAAACUCAUCAAGGUUUUACUCAAACUUUGUUGACAAAAAAAUUAAAACGUAGUAAAACAGGAUCUGUUUCAUUGUGAUUUGUGCAGUACAUGAAGUAGCUAAUCUAGUUAAGGACAUUGUUUUUUGAUUCAAUUUUUUUUUUUUAAAUAAAGAAGAACAACUCAAGUACAGGGAGAAGAAGCAAGAGAUGUACUAAGGAUGCAUCUUAACAAAAAAUUUUAGGGAAAAGGAAAUAAACCAUGAAGACUCUUGACUUUAUGAGAUUGAAAGUUAUAGUUAUGCUGCUCUUAAUAAUCUGGUUAUUAGUCAAAAGUAGUGUGGGAAACAUGAAGUAGUUCAUUGCCUUUCUGAAUAUGACAUCAAGCAAGAGGACUCAUCUUGCAGAUAAAGGACUGCCUUGCUCAAUUUCCUGCUUCUGAAGCUCAAAAACUGGCCCUAAUUAUUGCAUGGUUUCAUGACAGAGAGUAUGAGACUGUUGUUAUAAUGGUGAGCAUGGUUCCUAUGCAAUGUUUGGAAGACAUAGCUGAUUCAAACCCAUCCUAGCCAAUACUAGUAUACAAAUCAUCCACAAGUCCUCUCUCAAUCAGAUCCCUGGUGCGAACAUUUCUCUGAAGAGAAGUUGCCCAUCCGAAUUAAAAGCCUCUAAAUAUCACCGUGUUUACAACAUGUUAUUUGGUCUCCAUGGACAUUGGGUAUUAUGUAGAAGUAAAAAAUAUAUAAGGGCCCAAAGGCAUUUUAAAAGUAAAAAAUUUCAAGCCAUAGGUACCCAAAACGCACAUCCUUUUUAGAUUUGAUACAAGAAUGUUGCCAAGGUCAACGCCGCAGAUAGAGCCCAGUUACAGUCAACUGAAUCAAAUGGUACACUUUAGAGAUAAUUUGCUUGCAUGAAAAACCUAUUUCCUGGAGUAUAGACAUUUUUUAAAUUUGAUAAUCUGAGGAACGAAAUGUAAACUUCUUAAACAAAACAUGUUCUACUCUUGGCAAAACUGUUUUUGCUUAGAUAGUACCUCCUUUCGCAAAAUGCUUUGUCAAUUAGUCUACUAAAUUAUCUCUCACAUGAUAUUUUGACACUUUUUGCAAUUGGAAUUUGUUAUAGGUUUCAAGGUGAUGAACUAGGUAGAAAUGCAGAACAUUGGGAACAUUUGCUGAUUCAAUAGAAAUUUCAUUUAUGUUCCCCCCAUUUAAGUGUGCCUAAUUGAUGAAUUUUUCCAACUUUUUUCUUGUUUCUUUAUCUUUGAUGGGAAUAAAGGUUUUCAAAUGUUAUGGAGUGAUAAAGGGAUUAAGCGGUUUUCUCUUCUGCGAGAUUGUAUGGACAAGGAAACUACGAUGGUAUGAAUGGCGAUUGACCAUUUUAACCAGCUGAAUUGUUUGUUCAAAAGAAAGUUAUAAAACUGGAGUUAGCACGUACUUACAUUAGUUAUCCUAAGGGAAAUGAUAGUUUUUUUUUUUUUCCGAUGGACCUAUAGUUAAAUAUAUUUUUUAAGAGGCUUUUAUGAGCAUAAUAGAGCUAAAUUACUUUUUGAACCAAAGUUUACUUUAUCAAUCAACAAAGUUGAUACCUUCCUACUUUCGAAAUCUAAUACGAGAGUCUUCCUAGCCUCAUUCCCUUCCAUAUUGAUUGAGAGGAAUUCAGGAAGCCUCUUUCUAUUCCUACUUUUCAAUCAAUUCUUUCAACAAGCUAGAUAAAGAACUGUGCUGGGGCUUUGGGUGAUUGCAGAUCUUGCUAAACAUCUCUCUCCCUCUCUCUCUCUCUCUCUCUCUCACAAACGUGCACGCGCACACACACACACUUGUCCUUAUGCACAUCAUUUACUGCAGUAAAGAUAUCAUGUUGUAUCCUUGGUCUGGGAUUAUCUGCACAUCGCAAGCAUAGAACUAGCAUGUCAUUGGUUGGAUAAGAACCCAUUCACAAGUUUUCUUUUAUCAAGUAUAAGGUGCUCAUUUUUAGAUGGUGGGUACGCUUUUCUGGAUUGACACUAGGUAUAGUUGCUUAAGUAGAGCGAUUUUCAGCCAUUUAAUGGUUGCCAUGAAUAGGUGUAGAAUUUGCCCGGUAAAUGAAAGCUAAGAAUUUCAAAUGGCCAGUCA